rnacentral:lncRNA from 1 species
CGCGGCGAAUUUUCCCCAAGGCCGGCGGCGCACGCCUCGAUAGUGCCUGCUCUCGCCGGAAUCUAACGAAGACGAAGUGUGAGAAAUUGGUGGCGGAGGAAGGGAGAUGCUGACUGGGGGUCGCCGAUGACUUAAUCUGGAAGGUUUUGGGGAUUCGUUUUGAAACUGGAAAACGGCAGAUGGAGAAGAGGUAGAGCAGUCGAAGAGAAAAGCGUUGCUUUCAUCUUCAUGGAGUUUCGGGUUCUCAGAAACUUGAGUAAUAUCAUCGGUAGAAACACUUGAAUCAGAGGCCGAAGAUUGUAACGAAUGACUUACAUGAGAGAUGAAGGUCUCCAUAGAAUCAAAUUCGGAGAGGAGGAGGUGGUGGAUGAGUUGCAGUGAUGAAGCUUCAUCUCCCAUGAUUGGAGAUGAGCAGUGAGAAAUAGUCUAGGGUUGAAAGUCGAAACAAGUUGAGAAAGAGAGACGAGGGUAAAGAGAAGUGAGUAAGUGGACCUCUGUGCUUCAAACAUGAGGUUGUGGUGUGUAUAUAUACACAUAUAUGGAAAGAGGAGGUUUCGGAUGAGGUUCCUGGUUAGUUCGAAGAAUGUUCUAUAAAGGUAGACGUCAGACAAGUUGGGGCUGGUCCAUGCAUGUGCAUUAUUUGUGGCGGCUGACUUGUGGUUGGAUGGGGUGAGUCAUUUUAAAAUCCAGGCAAUGCCUUGAAUGUUACUCAAGUAGGAUAAGGACACUUUAUUAUUUGGAUUACCACUAUAUAUAUAUAUAUAUAUAUUCUCUCAUGAUUAUAAUUAAUUUACAUCCUAAAAGAAGAUGCUAGAAGUUUAAAGAGGAUAAGAAGAGAAGGGAAAAGAAGAUAAGUCAUAUAAAUGAACCUUUUUUUUUGAGAAAAUGCCCACUGAGGUAUAAGAGAGGAUUCAAUAGAGAGGAGUUAUCAUUCUAUUGAUUGGAAUAAGAUAUUUAUGAAGUUUUAUUUAUUUAUAUAUUUAUAGGUUUUUGUUUUUUCUAAAAUUAAUAGGGAUAACAAUGGAGCAGUUUUGGAUGCGUCACCUCUAUCCUAAUCAUCUGUUUAUUCAAAAUAAUUAUUAUCUUUAUUUCAUUAAAAAUAAAUAAAUGGGGCGGAAUGCAAGUGGAAUGAAUAUGUGCAUUCUCAUACCUAUCCUUUUCCUUUCGUUUAACUUUUUUUUUAAAAAAAAUUAAAUUUCCUUUUAAAAAUAUUAAUUAGAUUAAAAUAAAUAUAUUUUAUAAAUAAUUAAAAUAUUAUAAGUUUUUUAAAAACAUAUACUAUUGAAAAAUAUUUUUAUUAUUAUUAUUAUUAUAUUUUAAAAUAAGAAAAUAAAAACUAAAUUAAAUUAAUUUUAUAUAGAAUUAAGGUAAGACAAAGUGAGAUGAGACAAGAUAAUACCUAAACUUGUUUUGAGUUGAAGAAAUAAAAUAAAAUAAAUAAUAAUAAUUAAAUUCAUCCCUAGUUUAUUUAUUUAAAUUUCAAAUUUAUCUCCUUAGAAACAUAUACUUAAAAAAAAACUAAAUCGGUUGUCAUCCUUGAAAUAUAAUGACUUUAUAAGCCUUGAAACAUUGAUUUCUUAUUGAAGUUGACUGGCCAUUCACAUGGCAAGUGGAGAUAUGGAUUUCUUUUAGGAAGGAGAAGACCACUUGUUUCAAUAAAUUUCCAUUGGGUCAAAGAUCUAAAUGUGUCAACGUACCGGUUUUGUUGACGAGUCCACAUAACAAUUUCAUUUCUAAUAAACGAGUAAGAAAAUAUAUGAAAUUGAACUCAUCACAGACCCAUGUAGGGUUCAUACAGGGUUUCCUGCUGGAGCAAUGUAUUCCUUAAAAAUAUUUUUCAAAAAACUGUAACAUUAAAAUAUUUUAAAAUUUCAAUACUUUUCAAUUUCUAGUAUAAUUUAUAUAAAAAAAAUUAAAAAAAAAAAAAGGAUAAAAGAGGAAUUCAUCUUUUAGUACAAAAAAUAAACUCGUCUGUUAAAAAAACGAAGUUAGUAUAAAAAAUGAAUUCGGGUUUUAAAAAGAUGAGUUUAGUGGAAGAAUAUAAGAAAGGGUGAAAAGUAUCGUAUUUUGUGUAUUUAAUUUUAAAAUAAUUGUAUUUUAAUAAUAUUUUUUUAAAAGAACAUUGUUUUUUUUUUAAAUAUCCGGACAAGACAUCCAUUGGAUUGUAAUUUACUUUGUUUUUGGUUGAAUUUUGUUUUAUGAACUGUUAUGGUGAAUGGGAGGUGGAGUAACCUUUUUCUACCUUUAUUCUAUUUUUGUUUUCAUGAUUUACUAUAAAAUGUCAACAUUGUACAUUUUAAGUUGUGGGAAAGGUCAUAAUUAACCUCUAGGCUAUGUUUGUUACCAUAAAAUUUGAGGAAAAAUAGGAGGGAAAGAAAAUAGAGAGAAAAUGUAAAAGGAAAAAAAAAUGAAGAAAGAUAAAAAGUAGGUUCAAAAUUAAUAAAUUAUUUUUACAUAUUUCUUCAAACUCAUUUCACUUAAUUUCCUCACUUAUAUAAAGGUUAAAUAAUUUUAAAAUGUAUAAAUUUCUAAUUAAUUUAAAUUAUAUUUAAUUUUCUUUUAAAAAAAUUAUAGUAAAAUCAGAUAUGAGAAAAUCAUUUUCCUUUACAUUUUUUUUUCCUUGGUACUUUUUGGGAACCAGACAUAACCCUAAAGUUUUUAAAAAUUUUGCUUUAUUGUUGAGGAUAUCACUCAAUUUUGUUCUCAUUGAUUGAAAAUUCUCCUUAAAUAAGUAUUGAAUCUUUCUUAAAUAUUAAGAUUUCAUUUUAAUACUCUAUAAGAGAUUUCAAAUUAGUAUAAAAUAUUUUUCUUUGUUUUGAGGAUGCUUUGGGAGGUUACCUAUUUUGAAUUUGAUAUGAAUUCACUUACUUUAUUUUACAAAAGUAGUGAUGCCUCUAGAAUAAUUGUUGUUAUGUUAAUUUUGAUAUGUUGGAAAUUUGGACAAAAAAUGGUCUCUACAAAAUGUAUGUUGACUUUAUGUGGUAGUCUUAGUAAUUGGAAGAUAACCUUGCAAUCUAUAGUUGUUUUGUCAAUAAUUGAAGCAAAAUACAUGGGAAUCACAAAAAUUGUGAAAAAAAAAAAAAUUAAGUGUUUGGUUGACGAUUUAGACUUACAAUAGGAGUCAUAGAAUGCUAUUGUAAUGAAACACAUUUAAUUUUGUUUUUAAUCUUGAGUGUUUGAGUCAAGGUCAAGAUUAUUCAAAAGUGUCUCAAAUUCUAAUUUAAGUCAAUUGGAAAGUCAUUGAUAGUUUUUUAAUAAGAUAUAUUAUUGUAAGGGAGUUUCCUAUUAUUGAAAAAGGAAUACUUUACUAUAAAAUCUUCUUUUAGGAAUAGGUAUUCUUUGAUAGUUAUACAAUUAGUUUAUUAUAAAUAACUUCUCUAUGUAAUUAAGAAAAUAUAUAAGAGAUUUUGACAAAAAAAAAAAGUCUUAUUUUGGGUGUAAUCGGGGCUUUGGGAUUUGAGAGUUCCGACCUUAUAAUCCCAUCAACAAUAAUAAAAAUUCUUCUGAGUCAUAAUUCGUAAAUAUAGAAACAAAACUAUGUGAAUCGUUAUGCAUUUGAUGUGUUUUCUGAUUUCGAAUUAUUAUUUUCUUUCUCUCCAUUAUUAUUCUUAACGGUUGCUUUUCACAUGGACUCCUAAACUAAAAACUUCUACUUACGCCUAAUACGCAAGGCCCACUCAACAAGAUGCUUGGACAACACAAAUGUUCUCAGUUAGAGCUCUAGUUAUAUAGUAGACACUAGGAGACAGAACUGGUAGGAAAAAUAUGACUUUUUAUAUGACAAACUCUUGAUAAAUAAUUUUGGAGAAACAACAGUCAAGCAAGAAAACUUAUACAUAAUUAAAAGAAUAAACAAAUUCAAUAACAUUAAUUUAUGAAAUAUAUCAAGUCCAUCAAACUUCAAUUGCCGGUGAGAACUCUCAUUCAACUAUAAGUUGAGAAUACGCUGUCCAAUGAUGGGGUCAUGAUGGCGUUAACGGUGGCAAAUUGAAUACUCCCUUCAUCUCUCUCUCUUCCCACACAGCUCUCCAACUCGACGGCGUUAAUGGACUGAUCCCCAAAACACUUGCUGCCGCCGCUGUGCUGUCAGAUUUCGGAAACUCCACUUCUUCUUGCUUUAAAACCUUUAUCUCCACCUGUUCUCUCACUUCGGUCCCAAAAUCUCUCACCCUUUUACGGCCGGAUGUGGCCGGUGGGUCAGAACCCGACCAAUUCCCUGCUUCAAGGGGGAAAUUGAGAAUGGCUUUGGAACCACGCAUCUUGAAAGCUGCUCGAUCAUAAGCCCUGGCGGCUUCAAUGGCUGUCUCGAAGGUCCCCAGCCAUACCCUCGAUCCUCUCCGAUUUGAGUCCCGAAUCUCCGCCGCGAAUUUCCCCCAUGGCCUUCGCCUGACCCCUCUAUAGUGCCUGAUCUCGCCGGCAACUGGCGCCGAUGAGGGCUGAGAAGUGGGUGGCGGAGGAACUGAGAUGCUGAGUGGGGGUCGCCGUUGACUUAAUGUGGAAGUCUUUUGGGAUUUGGUUUCAAACUGGAAGACCCCAGAUGGAGCAGAGGUAGAGCGGUGGAGGAAAAAAGAAUUAUUUUCAUGUUCAUUGGGUUUCAAGUAAUCAGAGACUUGAACAAUAUGUGAGGCGGAAACGCUUGAUUCAGAAGUUGAAGCUUGCGAUGCUUCACCUACAUCAGAAACGAAGGUUUCCACACAUUCAAAGUCGGAGAGGAGUUGCUGGUGGAUGAGUUGAAAUGAUGAAACUUUAUCUGCCAUGUUGGAGAUAAAUCCCAGUGAGAGAGCUGGAAGUAUUGAAGAGGAGUGAGUGUGGUGGAGUUCUAUAUGCACAAGAGAAUGUUGUGUCGUAGAAAAACAGAUAUGGAAAGACGAGGUUUCGGUCGAGGUUUCUGGGUCAGAGGGGAAGAAUCUUCAAUUCAAUAAUUGUAGAGUCGAGAAACUGGGUGGGGUUUGUCUGUAUGUGCUUUACUUGUGGAGGCUCCAUCAGACAUAGUUGAGUUGUUUCUAGGACAUUUCUUCCUACGUCUACGACAUUCCUCCAAUAGAAAUUAAAUAAAUAAACCAUUUUCUUAUGAACUAUGUCACAUUCACCACUAUUUUAUCACUAAUACUAUUUUAGUAACAUGUUUAUAUGGAAUGUGAGAAUAAAAUAUAAUGAAAAGUUAUUUCUAUUUACUUGUAUAAAUUUUAUUGUUUGCUAAUUAUUAUUUAUUAUCUAUCCAAAGUGAUAAAAAUGAUGGUAAAAAUAAAAAUAUUAUCGGUACUUUUCAAUUCUUAUUAGAGUUUAUUUAGCAUUAAUUAAGAUGGACAAUUUUCUUAUCCAAAUAUGUUUGUGGCACAAUUUGAAAUUUUAUAAUAAGACCUUUUCUUUUUUAAAUAUUACCUAAGUUUAAACAUAUAUAUUACAAUUUUUUUAAUAAAAAAUUAUGUGUAUCAUGAGUUCAUACCUUAUUUAACUAUAUCUUAAGUAAAUAAAAACUUUUAAUUACAUUGUUAGUUUUUCUCAUUCCUUCGAUUUCUUUUUGUAGUUGGGGGGGAAGGAUGUUUAGACAUAAUAUACAAUAUACAUCUUGUAAGUGCUAAAAUCAAUCUAAACAUGCUCAAAAAGCAUAUAUUACUAAUGUAAUCAUGCUCAAAACCUUAAUAAUAUUUAUCAAAUGCAAAAUAAAGGAAGAACCGAAACAUACGUCCAGCCAUUGAUGGUUUGGGAAUCCGAUAAUCAAAUUUGAUAUUUAGAUGGGUUGAGGUGUUCUAAACCCUUAAUCAAUCUUAAAUCAAUAGUGUAUAUAUGUCCGAAUAGAGAUCGGAGGCUUAGGGGCCUAACCAUAAGAGCUAUAUUUAUGACAAUCAAAAAGGAAAACCAGAUCAAUAGAAAUCCAAUAAUAUUAUGAGCCAGAUUUCUGGACCCAUUUAGGAAAGUGUAACAUUAUUCCCAAAAUUGAUGGAAUAUUAUAGGCUAAAUUUCGUUUAGGAAAAUCUAACAUUCUCCCAAUUGGUCCAUAUAUUCCAUCAUUUAUCAUAGUAAGAAACAAAAUACACAAAUCAUGGCGAUACUUCUCUAAAAUGAUGAGGGAUAUUCCUCACACACAUUGUUGAUCACAUACUCAUCCCAUGCAUUUUUUUGACCUCGUACAUGUUCAUUCCAUUACCUACCCCCUUAAUGAUGGAUAAGAACAUAUAUUUGGGUUCGAUUUUGUUUUUAUUCUUUUUCCUGAGCCAUGACAAUGGAAACAUAGUUAACCCACUCAUAUGCAUACAUUGCAUUAAAGGUCUAUGGAAUUUGUGCAAGUGUGCAAGGUAUUUACUCUAAGUGUAUAGGGUAAAUGUACUAACUGUACAAGGAUGUACAAGACUAGCUUCCUUGAAAGAUUUCAAAUGAUUUUGAAAAACUCGUUCUCUCAUUUCCCUUUUCCAAGGAUGGGGGGCAUUCUUCACACUCAUUGCUUGAUCAUGCACUCAUCUCAUGCAUUUUAUUUAUCUCAUACAUGUUCAGUCGAUUACAUACCCUACUAAUGAUGAAUAGGAACUGAAAUUGGGUUCAAUUUUUCCUUUUUUACCUUGAUCCAUGACAAUGGAAACAUGGUUAACCCACUUAUAUGCACACAUUUAGUUUUACCUCUGUUGAAUUUCUACCAUUGUACAAUACAUUUACACUAAGUGUUCAAGGCAAAUGUGUGAACUAUAUAAGGGUGUACAAGGGUACCUGUCUUGAAGGAUUUCAAAGGAUUUUGAAAAAUCACUCUAUCAUUUCCCUUUUCCAAGGAUGGGGCACAUUCCUCACACACAUUGUUUGAUCACAUACUCAUCUCAUAGAUAUAUUUGACCUUGUACAUAUUCAUUCAAUAAACUACCUCACUAAUGAUGAAUAGGAACCUAAAUUGGGUUCAAUUUUUCACCUUUUCUUUGAACCAUGACAAUGGAAACAUGGUUAACUCACCCAUAUGCACAAAUUUCAUUAUACGUCUAUAGAAUUUGUACAAGUGUACAAGGUAUUUACACUAAGUGUACAAGGUAAAUGUCCUAAAUGUACAAGGGUGUAUAAAGGUACCUAUCAUGAAUGAUUUUAAAGGAUUUUGAAAAACUUGCUUGACUUUUAUUUUUAAAUUUCAUCAUCCAAAAUUUGUGACUCCAUGUUUUGUUUUUCAUUGUUUUAGCAAUGUUCUUUGUUUGUACAUUCAAAUAAGUUAUGAAAUGGGAAUAACCAGGGUACCAUUGCAUGGAAGAUACGUAAUAACAACUUCAAGAUGACUAAAUUAGUGCCUAGUCUUGAUGAAAAACAACAACAAAUGCAACGUCUAGCUUAGUCGUACCACGAUUGAGCAUAACUAAAAGAACUUUUGAACAGAAAAUAUGAUUAUGAAUGUUACAACACAUCCUAAUACAAAAAAAGCAAUGAAAUUUGAUUUUCGAUCUUUGAUCUUUUUUAAUACUUGGUCUUCUACUAGUUGCCUAAUAUCUUGAUUAACCUUUUCAGGCGCAGACGAUUCAAUAAGUGUUUCAGGGUUUUUUCCACCGAGGCUCACACAUCACCCAGGCCGAUACAACCUCAUGAUGUGUUUUUUUUUUUUUUUUUUUUUAUGAUUUCUAAACGUUAUCCUUGUAACCAAUAAUUUGAGUUUGGCCUUCAAACCAAGUUGUGUACACACCUCAUCUCCUCCCAACAAAAACAACAUAGAACUUGUCUUUGUUUGCCAUAUAUGGCUCCUCAUAUACACAACUGCAACUAUAUUUGUUAAUACUGAUGCAAACAAAACACCAUAUGUGCAUGAGUCUUUCUUCCAUAUUUGCUUAAAACAUUGAUAGACAAUUUUAAUUUAAAAUAAGAAAUAUAGAAUUGUUGCCUUAAAACAUACCUAACCAAUAUGGUUGAUAUACGUUACAAAUUGAGGUCAUUUACACGGUGCAUAGAUCCAAACAAUAGUGUUUAAAGGUUAUACCAUUUAUAUACUUUGAAGAUUGGUUGGAGAGCCUACUUGUAAUAUUGGUCUGAGGGCCUACUUGCAAUACAAACAAAAAGUACAACAUCUAUAUGAAAUUUUGAAUAAAGAUAUGUGUGGGUAAUAAAACUGUAAUUGUGAAGUCAAUUUUCACAUCAAUAGUGGUGUUCUAGUGAUCCAUCAUUUUUAGUGAAUAGGUAAUUGAAAAAUAUACUUAUUAUUUUUUCUAUAUCAAAGUGUACUUCACCUACAAUAUGUCUUCUUAUUUUGUUGUCAUGCAAGGUGUUUAGAAUGAAUAUAUUUAAUUCAUUAUCACAUGCAAUAUGUGAAUCUUAUUCAAAUUUGCUAUCACAUAUUGACAAGAUAUGACCAGAUGUGAAUCUUAUAACAUAGGGUGGUAAGUUUGCAAUGGGAGGAUAAAAACAAAGUAGAUCAUUAAUUUCCAACCAUUUGCCUAAAUAACUUGGAACAUUUAGCCCAAAACUCAACAAUAUGUAAGUACCUAAAACAACAUCACUGCCACCAUAUACCAUGGGAUGGAAUAAAUGGGAAAUAAACAACAAAUGAAAACAUUAAAAGCACAAAAGAAGGAAUCUCACAACAACUGAUUAUUACAUUUAGAUUGAUUGUGUCGAUGUCAUUGCAUCGAGAGCAAUGAAUAGCUCUCUUAUGGCUCUAUUGUGACUCAAUGCGCCAUUGGUGAGAUCUUUCAAGAAGACGUCUCACUUAUGGGGGUUUGAGAGCAUGGAAUAAGUUCCCUUCUCCAUCUCGCACACUCCCAUCUACACAAACCUUGGGCAAGUUGCUCAUCAGUAAUGGUUGAAACUAACCCGAGUAAAUCAAAUGUUGAGUGGAGACAUGGUAAUAUGAGUCAAUAUACUCAUACACAUACACAUCUUGUCUCAUCAUGCGGAUGAUAGCACAAGCAUGGACGCAUGGCAAUCCGAACAUUAGUCAUGUCAUACAAGUACCCGAAUGUUGCUACAUGUCCACAACCAAAUAAACCUCCCCAAUAAACAUCUUAAAUAUCCCCUACAAAUAUGGCAUGACAACAAUCGGACCAAACCUUAUGAUAUUUGACAUUAGCUUUUCCUCUAUUCACGUUCUUCCACUUUUAUGUUCCACACGUGGUUACAAGCUUAUCCAUGUGCAUCAACAACAAUGUAUAUAUUGUUUGGUAGCACUCCUCUCUUAACCACACAUGAGAGAACUUUGCAAUUUUAGUGGUGAUUUUAUCCUAACAUUUUUUAGGGAACUUUGACAUAUUAAUGUGAUAAAGAACUUUGACAUCAUAGUUUUCUGAGCUAACUGCACCAAGGGCUAGAAAAAAGAUUUCAUCAUCUACAUCAUAUGAAAUGGUAGACAAAAGAACCCCCUUAUAUAGACCGCUAAGGUGGCAAGAAUCAAUAUCCAAUACCGGUCAACACCCCAUGAUGAACACCUGAAUUGAAAAUGCAUGGGCAAUGAUCAAUUACAUAAAGUAACCUUCAUUAGAAGUAUACCCAUUAUUAGUUCUUGGGUUUAUUUCCCUUAGCCUAUGGUAUAACCAAGGCAAAAAUGUGUGAGUCACAUAAAACUUCAUAUAUGUGCUCAUUUGCCUUCUUUUUAAGGUACCAUGCUUGGUUAUGUGUCAGUUCAACUCCAUGAUCAUAGGCGAAAUCCUAGCAUAUUUGGCGAUGAAGAUAAUAUGGAGUUGUUCUAAAGAUAUCUUCAACAACAACAACACCUCUCUUUGAACUAGCCAUCACCUUGGAUGACCAUUCAUCUUGAGUUGUGUGAUUAUGAUUAACUUAAAGUAUAAAUGAACUUGAAAUAUUACAUUCCCCUCUACAACGUGAGCUAUUAUCUUCCAAGGACAACCCUCAACUAAACACUUUAUUAACAUAUGAUUAGGUGAAUUUUUCUUGUACUUGUAUUGAAUCGUCCCACCUAAUGACAUCUAGUUAUUGAUUGCAUUAUGGAAAUCUUCUACAUUUUUAAAUGUGUGUCCCAACCCUAAUAUUGCAUCACGAAACUAAUUUGAUUCCAAUGGAAUGUACUCACUUUUUGCACAUCGUGAUGCAAAACCUCUUGAUAGUAUCUUAACAUCACAUAUUGCGUCACAUGAUGCACCAGAGAAAGGAAAUAUAGGAGGUGGACCUUUGCAUAUUACACAAAUACAUGAAAUUAAACUAAAUCAUGCAUAAUAUUGAUAAUCACAAUAUUUUACUUGGAUAUUCAUGUGAAAGCGCAUUACACAAAAGUUAGUUGUGUAUUUGGUAUAUUUUCUUCAAUGGCUUCUACACAGGGUGACUCCACUAUGUAGACAUUUGCAUAGUCAUCAUUGUGGAAAACCAUAUUAUCCAAGUCAUCAUCAUCUUCUAAAUCUUGGAUGAGUUUGGGGUUAACUUAAGAAUGUAAUGCAUCUUCAUUAGAUCAAGAGAGAUGUUGAAUUUUUCUAAUACUCUCUGAAUGAAUUAUUGAAAUGGAAUUUCUUUAUAUAUGUGAAUACCUUUGCUCUUCUACCCACGUAUUCCCAAAACCCAUCAUUUUUUUAAACAAGUUUACCUCCCACGAAAAUGUAACAAUAUAUUCUAUUUGUAGCAUCCAUCAACCUAUUCAAACAUAAAAUAUCAUUUUCAUAUUGUUGAACAAAUAAUUACGCAUAUAGCCUACUUAACCAUUACAUGCAUUUCCAAACAAGCCCAAUGGUAAAAUCCCAAAUCAACUUUAUGCUCAUUCAUGAAACUAAUAGGAAGCAUUUGGUUCUAUUUGUAUCCUAUACAUGUUAGCAAGAGCUUACAAAAAUAGAAACAUGAAGACCUGGCUAGCAAUGUAUAAUAGAGAGGGAAAUUUUAUAUUUUUUUUCCACACUUUACUCAAAUUGUUAUAUCAUGCAUUACAUAUUGCCAUCCCAACACUGCAAGCACCUAAAACCUCUUUUAACCACCAAGAAACAAACUUAAAGAAAAAUCAACAACAAUAAAACACCACAAAAAACCAUUUAUCAGGCAACACACCUCUCCUAAAAGAAAGUAGAAUUUAUUCAAAUUGAAUGUCAUCCAAAAAAUAUUUUCGUCUCAAAAUAUGUAAUGUUCCCACAUGAGUUAAUACCAAUAGCAUUCUAAACCCAAUACUCAUUAGAACCCAUCAAAUGUUGAAACUCAAGCUUUUAAUAAAAUAUAUAUCAAAAGCCUAUAAAGUUUUGAAACCUAUUAAAGCCCUUUGAAUAUUUCAAGAUUAAGCAUAAACAAGCAAUACCCUUGAGGCUAUAGCUUUAUUACACAAUAAUUGAGGCUUAAGCCUCAUUUUGUUAAGGUUUGUAACCUUAUGGCUAAUUCAUGACACCUCACUUUUAUGAGAAUGCUAGUUUUAUUUUGUAUUGGUUAGUUGGAUUCACAAAGAUGACAUACAUGAAUGUAAUGGGUACAUAUUUAAAAUAAAAAUAAAAAAACAAACAAACAAACCUUGGAUGCAAGGGAAACUAAGACUAGCAUUUGGUAAAAAUAAAAAUAAAUAAAAACUAUAUAUCCUUUAAAACUUGGAUUGACCAUGUCUUUUUCUAUUUCUAAUAUAUACAUUUCUAUCUAUAACUAUUAAAAAAAAAAUUGUUAUUGUUGUUUUAAUCUCCUCUCAACCAUGUUAGUUGGCUAACAUUUGAUGCAUUUUCCUCGCAAUUAGUUAAACUUGAGUUGAGGACUCAAGCUAACCAGAAUGAAGUGAGUAGGAAAGCAUUAAACUUAUUUGAAUAUGAUUAGGUGACUAAUCUUCUUUCCAUGUUAAAGUUUUUAUGCUCAAGCUUUUGCUUGAACGUAUUGUUUCAUAAAUAUUUUGUGAAUAUAAUUACCACAAGUUUUUCCCUAUUUAUUGCUUCAACUAGCCCAUGAUUUCUUAAUACCCAUUAGAAUACCAUUAGAUGUUGUAAAAGUUUGACUUUUUAAAAAACAAUGACAAUGGAGAAUAAAAAAAAAAAUUUGAAAGCAUAUAUUAGGUUUUACUACUUUGUUGUAGGUUUCAAAUCAUUUUUUGUCAUCUAAAUGUAGAAGAAAAAAAAAAAUUCAAGUGUCCUACAAUAUUAUAUUCUAUGAUCAGCAUAGACAAACAAGAACCCUACAGUUUACAAUGUUCAAUGUCCAAAAUCUAGAGACAGAUAAACUACUAUAUGUAUUUGCUCUUAAAAUUGUUUUAAGAGUUAAAAAUUUUAUUAUAUUUUCCUUAAGAUGAGGUAUCAUAUACUUUGUAUUUCUUAAUACCCAAAUUGGUUGCAGAAACUGGAGAGCUUGUAUACAAUGUGAACAAGUACAAUCAGAAAAAACAUUGUGCAUAUCAUCAAAGAAAAUCAAUCCACUGCUCAAAUUAAUGGAAAGGUAGAGACAAAAUACCAUAUUGAUCAACGGAAAUAAGCGUUUUCAUUGGAAUAGUAGAGCAUAGGAAAAGAAAAACUAAAAUCCCUUAACAUUUCAAACAAAUCAUCAACAAUCAAAUAAGAUAAGAGUGAAAAUGAAGAAGUGGGGAUGAUUUCCAGUUCAUAGGAAUACCAAAAUUGAAAAAAAACUAUUUCUAAGAUUUGAAAUACGUACACUUGUGAAGGCACCAACAAGAAGACCAUGAUUGUGGUUGAGAUGAAAACGAUGGCAAGAGGAACCUAAGUAUGGCAACGCCAAUAGGAAUGCGGCUAGAGCAGCAACAAGUGAAGUGUGGUUACAACAAUAGGCCACAACAACGACAAUGACUACGGUCGAGAAAAGGAAGCUAGUCAACAAAGGGAAACUAAGGCUAAAAUAUUUGGGGAUUUUUGGGUUUUCUUUCUUCAAAAACCAAUAUAACAAGGGAGAUAAAUUUAAGGUAGGGAUCUAAUGUGGUGUUCAAAUUCCAAUUUUUUUUUUUUUUGUGUUUUUUUUUCAUAAUAAAAAAAUAGUUCUUUUGAAAAAAUUGAAGAAUGAUAUCCUUCAUCUCAAUUUUCAUACUUCUACUAGGUCUUGGGAUUAAAUGGCCAAGUUAUGAGGACUAAGGGCUAGUUUUUAGGCCCAAUUGGAUCUAAAGCAUAAUUCUUCCUAUCAAAAUUGCCUUUAAAAUUACCUUGGACUAGGUUAAUUGAUUUAAGGGAAAAUUGUGUUUUAGACCCAAUUGGGCCAAAAAAAUAAGCUUUGGUCCAUAUAAGUUCACCAUUUAAACCCAAAACCCAAAGGAAGUGUGAAAAUUGAGAAGAAAGAUAUGAAUUUUUUAUCUUUCUGGAAAUGACCUUUGUUGACUAUGAAAAAAAAUUCAGAAAAAUCCACGUUAGAAUUCCAUUUAUGUUGCCCUAAUUUUACUAUCUUCGAUAUUUCAUUUCAGACAGUGACAUUUUUCUUCUUUCUCGAUUUCCUUCCUCGCUUCCAUUUCAUUUGAGGCCCAAAGAAUGAUCUAAUCUCUGUGGUGAUUUCCUUAUCUCUCGGUUUUGUCUCUCCCGACCAUUUGAUUUUAGGUGUAGAUAGUGGCUUUUUCAUCUCUGUCGAUACAUUGCCCUCGUCAAUUCCUACCGGUGUUGCCCUCUAUGCCAAAGUAGUUGGAUAUUUGAGGUUAGUAGGUUCUCCAAUUUCGUCUCUCCAAACCAUUUAAUUUUAGGUAUAGAUAGUGGCGUUUUUCAUCUUUGUCGAUACAUUGCCCUCAUCGAUUCCCACUAGUGUUGCCCUUUAUGCCGAAGUAGUUGGAUAUUUGAGGUUAGUAGGUUCUCCAAUUUCGUUUUAUGCUUCAUUUCGUCUCUCCCGACUAUUUGAUUUCAACCCAAAUAGAUUGCCUUAAUCUCUCUCUCAAUUUCAAUUCAUCGUUUAUCAUUCCCUCGUCGAUCCCCAUCAACAUUGCCCUCUGUGCUGAUCGUAGUUGGAUAUUUGAGUUUAGUAGGUUCUCCAAUUUCGUUUUAUGCUUCAUUUCGUCUCUCCCAACCAUUUGAUUUCAGCCCAAAUACAUUGCCCUAAUCUCAUUCUCGAUUUCAGUUCGUCGUCUAUUGUUCCCUUGUCAAUCCCUAUUGGUGUUGCCCUCUGUGCCGACCGUAAUUAGAUAUUUGAGGUUAGUAUGUUCUCUAAAUCUCACCCUAGAUCUAUUUAAUCCUACAUUUUGUUUAAUCAUCGUUGGUAUGAGGAGAGAGAUUCUUGUUUUCUGUUAACCUUUAGUUUACGAAGUCAAUUUAGGGUGCUAUUAGUAUUUUUUGCAAACCUAUCUCUAAAUGGAAAUAGUUCUUAUUUAUUGUAGUAUUUUUUAUGUUGAGAUACAUAGGUGACUUAUGAAUUUUAGAUUCUUGGAUUUUUUUUUUACACUAAUGGAUUUUUCUGGAUUGGUGAACCAAAUUCUGGGGAUGGAAAGUUUCAAAAUUAUGCACCAUCCUUAAUUUUUGGAUAGUAGUAUUCAUUUGUACCCUAUUUUAUUGGUGAUACUCUCUAGUCUACCCUGUUUUCUAUUCCAACAUAAUCAGGCUUAGUUGUUAUUUGUCUUUUAUGAGUGGUUAUGAAUCGUUCUCCUUAUGACAUAAAUUGAAACUAUUCAUACGCCUGAAUACAGUGAGUAUCUAAAUGGAAUUCUAUGAUGGCACCAAGAAAUACAAUAUGUCAAUAUUCCUUUUUUUUUUUAAAUGACCAUGUUACCCUUCAACCUUGGGAACUAGGGUCAUGGGAUCAGAUUCAAUCAACAUUAGCUCACACUUACCUGAAUAUGAGCAUAAACUUGUGUCCCAUGUGAAGGAAUAGAUAGCUUAUAUGACUCAUCAACACCAAUUUGUAAAUCCACAGCACACAACAAAUUUAAUUUGCAGAAUUGGCAUUUCUUCAUUAAAAUAAACAGAAUAAUGCAAACCGGAACAAACUUCAAACAAGUUUUAGAGACAAACAUGUGAAUAUGAAAAUAAAUUUCUAAUGAAAAACUAGGCACUGAACUCCGGCAAGUGUUUAUCUAUCAAUUAUAAAUGUUCUACUACACAAAUCUUGUUUAUCCAUCAAACUAGAUUGAGGGUUAUGUCCUCUCUAAAUUUAGGGUCAUAUAGUCUUCUUCCGUCUUGUCUUGAAUAGAUGCCCAUGUCUAGGUUUCAACUAACAUAUUCAUUUUUUAGUCAUUUAUCCAUCUUAACAUCUUCAUUUCAGUAUGCUUAUUUGAUGUGGGCAAGCACCAUUAGUACAAGGCCUUUACUAGCAAAAUUGCCCUUUAAUGUUAACCUAACAACCCCGCAACAACUUUCCUGUUCUAAUCUUGGAGCUAAUAUUCACUUCAUUCUCCAUAUAUCAAUGAUCAGUUCAAAGAGAACCAAAUAUGCACUUGGGCAUCAAUUCUUACAAUUCCUUCACUUCUACUCUUUUCAAUCUUUUUAAAUUCUACUCUAGGCUUUUUUUUUUUUUUUGGAUAGUAAAACAAGAAUAUAUAAAAGAUGCCAAUAAAAGAACACUGCUAGUACACGGGACAAUUCUACUCUAGUUAGUGAAGUUAUAUUUUAUAAAAUUUAAAUUUUGUUUAAUUUUAAAUCCCUAUAUUGCAAGGCUCAUUUUCACAGUUAUAACUUAAAUAAAAUCCAAACGAUUUAAAGACCACAUAGGAAAAAAAAUAAGUAUCUAAUGUGAACCUUAACAUAACCAUGGUUUGGAAUUGAUUUGUUUAUUUCUCUUUCAAUAAUCAUGUUUUUCAAUAUAUUAGUUCUUUAUCACAUUAAUAUAUCUUGUGUCCAUGCUCUCAUUCAAAACUUUAACUUCUUGUCAUUCCAUUCAUCAAAUCAUUUAUGAAUACAAGUAAAUGAAAUUAGGAUGGAUGCAAAGGAUAGAAGCAUUUCAAAUAGAACUCUCACUAACAUAAGAUUCCUUGCUUUUGAUAAAAGUCCCUUCCUCUAAGAGGUUGUCUGUUUCUUAACCUUUUCUAUCACUACGAUCAAUGUAAAGAAGACUAACCAAUUGCUUGUUUUGGAUGUGGAGGAAGGGGGUUUAAAACCUAGCAAAGUUGUUUGGUUGCGGGAAAGGGUCAUUGGAAAUUCUUUGUUUAGAUUCCUUUGAGGUGAAAACAGCAUGGAAUAAGGCACUAAUAGUAUUUUAAGCUAUGGAAUUGGCCCAAAUCAACUUGAUGUGCAUUAUUACCCUAUCAUUACCUAACAUCGAUAAACUUUUGAAUCAACUUUGUAGCUUAACUUUACAUCAAGGGCCAAGUUGUCAGGAAGUCAUAAGUUCAAACCUCACUGUAUUGUUUAUUUCCCCAAUUUAUUGAAGCUAUGUGCAAUUCCAAAAGAAAUAAAGGCAUUCAUUUUUCCUAACUUUCAUAAUUUAUGGUUGAUAUGAAGAAAUGUUGAUUACUUAAGGUUUGUUUGGAUAUAUUUAUUAGCUAUUUUUUUUAUGUUUAACAUCAUAAAUCAGAGCAUAGUAGAAAUUUUUAUAAAAGAAGAAAAACUCUUUAAGAUUGAUAUAUAUAAAUAUUUGUGGGCAAAAUUAAGGUAUCAUAAAACUUUAAAUAGUUUAAAAUUUCUCAUCACUAAAAAAAUGAUUUUUCAAGGCAUAAGCUAAAGUUAAAUUUUUGUAUAUAUAAAUUGUUUUUUUUAAUAUAAAUUUUUUUAAUGUAUUAUUCAUUAAUUUUUAGAAAUAGAGUGACUCUGGUCUUUACACUCUCUACUCUCUCCUUUAUGUAUAAGGUUAUGCUUUGUGGCGAAAGGUGCUAGCAGUCAAGAUUGAAGUUUCUCAUUUCUUUGCAUUUGCACUUGCACCUUACCCACUUUCUUUUUUAGUGCCACUGCUUGCUUCAUUGUCCACCCAAAAAACCCUAUAAACUCAAAUUAAGGAUAGGUGCAUAUGUAAGUGCAGGCAAAUGGCAUCUCCAUUUUAUCAUGACCACCAGCAGUAUCCUCACUUAACUUGCAUUCUUUCUCUUUCUAUCUUCCAUUUCAUGUGCUUCUUCUUAAUUACUUGUUGUUGGCUUCAAGUUAAAGGAAUGAAAAAAUAGGCCUCACACUUUGUUUGAACAAUAGAUCUUGGUGAUAAAAUGUUGGUGGUAGUUAUUCGUAUGGGAACAAUACUUCUUGUGAGAUGAAAAAACUUUUUGGGUGACAUUGAAUAUGCAUAAUUGUGUGUUCAACAAUAUGAAAUUUGUGCUUUGUUUGAAUAGGUUGAUGGAUGCUACAGAUAGGAUAUAUUGUUACAUUUUCAUGGAAGGCAAACUUGCCUAAAAAAAUUAUGGGUAAUGAGAAUACAUGGGUGGAAAAAGCAAAGGUAUUCACACAUAUAAAGGAAUGCCAUUUGAAAAAUUCACUCAAAAAUUCUUAGAGAAAUUUGACAUCUCUCUUGAUGUGAUGAAGAUGCACUACACCCUCAAGUUCAACCUCAGAGCCAUCAAAGAUUUAGAAGAUGAGGAUGACUUGGAUAACGUGGUUUCCCAUAGUGAUGACUUUGUAAAUGUAUACAUAGUAAAGUCACCUCAUGUGGAAGCCAUUGAGACAAAUAUACUGAUUCGUUCCCAAUUGGUGUCUUAGCUGAUUCAUGUCCUCUCAAUGGUCCCUAACAGUGGUACCAUUUGAUUCGUGUCCAGCUAGUGUCCCUUGAUUGUGGUCCUCAGAAGGGAGUAAUCAACAAAAUUUAUAACCUAUUACAUCAUAUAAUAGGAUAGCCUUAGCUAACAUAGCAUAGUGGCUCUAGGGUCGUUCACUGGGAUGGGUUUUCACUCCACAAUUGAUAUUACUUCAAAGAUGAAUUGGUGCUUUUUCAUUUCAAGGUUAGCUUUAAAAGAAAACAUAAUCUUUGGUGGAAAAGGUUGGUUUUAAGCUAACAAAAAAUAAUAACUGAUUUUAAUUACAAAGAAAAGUGUUUCUUGGAGUUUAGAUCACUAGGCUCAGGUUCCUCAUACAAAAAGGAGAGUUCCGAUCACUUGUUUCUUUUCCUCGCAUUAGAGAAUUAACAUAUAGUUAAUUCUCUAACCGGUGUGGUACAGAUGCUUCCCCUUAAUGGGUUCAAACACUAAAUCUCUCUCACCUAGCAUUUACCAUUCAAGGUGAUCUUUAACCUUGGAUUACCCGUCAAAAGCUCGCAAGAGAUAACUAAUGGAUGUCUCCUUGGAGUCCAAAAGCUUACCAAGUAUUGGCUAUUCUAGAAAAUCCUACCUUCAAACCACCUCCCAAAGGCUCGCAAUAGAUAAAUUAGUGUAUCUCAAUGGACGGAGACCACUUGCCUUACCAAGUGUUGGCCCAGGUGAUUUAAAGGCGUUUUAAGUUAACUAAAAACAUAGAAACCAUUAACGGGUCACACUUUCUAUUCAUUAAUAAUUGAAACAAAAAAACUUCAAAUUCUUGCAUUUGGAAACUUACCCGGCUUUCUUCACUCCAAGAGACGAAGAGCCUAGCCUCUCAUCCUCUGAGGAAAAAUCCUCAGAGUUUGAUUGGCUAGAAAGAAAACUAACGAGAAAACAAAAAUAUGAAGGAAAAACAGAGCAAGUGCUCUGUAAAAUAUAUUUCUUCCUUCCACCGAUUACAUGAUUAUAUAUGAUUGAUAUGUUGUGUAAAGGAAAUUACAAACUAUAUAUAAGAGGUUAUUCACAUUUUUUUCUUACUUAAAGACUAAGGAAUCCUAUGAUAGGUGGGUUACCAAGAGAGGUUGGGGAUUUAAAUAUCAAAUAUCUAAAGAAAAAUAUCUCAAAAUGUCGGUCGGGAAGCUUCAGGAGAACACCGCGGCACUGUGCAAAAUGGUUGCGAAAUUUUCGCAGCAAAAGGACAACAUUUUCGUAGCCAAAGGAUGAUUUCGCAGUCGUGCAACAUUCUGCCUUCAACUUGGAGUGAUCUACUUACAAUGGCUGUAACUCCUUCAUUUCAACUCUGAAUCGCAUACCGUUUGAAGCAUUAGAUUUUUGACUUCCUGAGAUUUGAAACGACAUAUAGCAUGCAUAAAUUAGACUUCAGGAAGUCCUCUAAAAGUGGCUAAAAUGACUGUCAUCAAGAAUGCUUCAUGUUAGAUUUCUCUUUGCUUCCCCUCCUUGCAUUCCAGAUUUGCUUAUGGAAAAGGACUUUAAAGCUUCGAUUCUUCAUGUUUCUGAGCUUUCCAUUUGCUUUUCCAUGGAUUCCAAAGAACUCUCCUCAAUCUCGGAUUGCUUUGGUGAUCAAAAAUCUAUCAAAACACCAAAACUUAACACAAUUUGAUUAGAAUUGAUUGUAAGGGUCCUUAAUAUGUUAAUUGGGUUAAAAGGUAAUAACUACUACUCAAAAGUGUUUAAAAGAGUUAAUUAAAAGCUAUCAAAUAGCACUUUUUGAGUAGUAAUCAUAUACCGAAUACACAGUUGGCAUUUGGGUAAUGAACUUUAACAUGAUGUCUAUUUAAAAUAUUGUGAAUAUCAAUUUUACACAUGAUGUAGUCUAAUGUAUGUAAAUGCAGAGGUCCACCUCCCAUGUUUCCUUCCUCUAAUGCAUCAUGCGAUGCAAUUCCUAAUACUAUGAUGCUAUCAAGAGGCUUUGCAUCGCGUUGUGUAGAUAGUGAGUACACCCCUUUAGAAUCAAAUCAGUUUCGUGAAGCAAUAUUAGGGUCGGGACAUACAUUUAAAAAUGUUGAGAAUUUUCAGAAUGCAAUAUACCAUAUGUCAUUAGGUGAGAGGUUUGAAUACAAGUACAAGAAAAACUCACCUAUGCAUAUGUUCAUAAAGUAUUCUGUUGAGGGUUGUCCUUGGAAGAUAACAGCUCACGCUAUAGAGGGGAAUGUAAUCUUGCGAGUUCAUACUUACCAAGCGAAUCAUAAUCAUAUAGCACAAUAUGAGUAUUCAUCUAAGGUAAAGGUUUCUUCAAAGAGAGGUGUUGCUAUUGUUGAAUAUGUGUUUAGAAUCAUUCCAGAAUAUCUUCUCCGUCAAAUUUGCAAGGAUUUUCAAUGUGAUCAUGGAGUUGAAUCGACAUAUAACCAAGCAUGGCACCUUAAAGAAAAGGAAAAAGAGUGCAUAUAUGGAGUUCUAUGUGAGUCCUAAGCAUUUUUGCCUUGGUUAUGCCAUAGCUUAAGAGAAAGAAACUCUAGAACUAUUGCGAAGUGCACUUUCCAUGAAGGUCACUUCAUGCAAUUUUUCAUUGCCCAUGCAUUUUCAAUUCAAGGGUUCAUCAUGGGGUGUCGACCGGUAUUGGCUAUUGAUUCUUGCCACCUUAGCGGUCCAUAUAAAGGAGAUCUUUUGUUCGCCAUUGCAUAUAAUGCAGAUGAUGGAAUGUUUCCUCUAGCCCUUGGUGUGGUCAGUUUAGAAAAUUAUGAGGACUGGUAUUGGUUCUUGGAGAAAUUAAAGGGGGUCCUAGAUGGUAAAGAAGUAGCUAUUAUAUCAAAUAGACAUUAGGGAAUAUUGUGUAGUGUUUCCAAGUUGUUCGGAACAAAAAAUCAUCCAUAUUGUUAUCGACUUGUGAAAGAAAACUUUUCUAGCUUCUUGAAUUGGCAAAACAUUAGAGGAAAGAAAUGGAAAGAAGAUGCUUUGUUGCUUUUGGAUAACAUUGCGUAUGGUAGGUUGGAUAUAGACUACAACGAGACAUUUGAAAAACUUUUGUGCUUCAAUGACAACUUAGAAAAAUGGAUUGCAUAAAACAAUCUCAAGCAUUAGGCUAUAUCAAAGUUCCUUAAAAAUCAUUGGAAUAAAAUGACAACUAAUAUUGCAGAGUCCUUUAAUGUGUGGUUAAGAGAUGAGUGCCACCAAAAAUUUUAUACAUUAUUGUUUGUGCCCAUGGAUAAGCUUGUAGCCAUGUUGGACACCCAUAUGCGUGGUAUAAAAAAGUGGAAGAGUGUGGUUGGACUGAAAACAGAAGAGAAACUAAUGUCAAAUAUCAUGAGGUCUGGUCCAAUUAGUGUGUUGCCUUAUUUGGGGAGGACGUUUAAGGUGUUUACUGGGGAGAUUUAUUUUGUUGUGGAUAUGCAUCAACAUACGUGUACUUGUAUGACAUAGCAAAUGUCUGGAUUGCCAUGUUCACAUGUAUGUGCUGUCAUCCGCACAAUGAGACACAAUGUGUAUGAGUAUAUUGACUCAUAUUUUCAUGUCUCCACUCAACAUUUGAUUUACUCGGUUCAAUUUCAACCAUUACCAAUACACGACAUGCCCAAAGUUUGUGAGAAUGAGAGUUUUCAAGAUGAAGCAGGCAACUUAUUUCCUGUUCUCAAACCCCCACAUGUGAAACGUCAUCCAAGAAGACCCCGACAAAGGCGCAUUGAGUCACAAUUUAGCCAUAAGAGAGCAAUUCAUUGCUCUCAAUGCAAUGGCAUAGGUCACAACCACUCUAAAUGUAAUAAUUUGUUGUCAUGACAUGUCCAUUUUUGUGCUUGUAAGGUUUUCAUAUUUUGUACCAUCCCUCAUUAUUCCAUUAUAUGGUAUAUGGUGGGGGUAGUUGAUUUUGGUACUUAUGUAUUGGCCUCACUAUAGGCACGAUGAACUACUUUUUUAUUUUCACGAUUUAGAGUUGCUUUAAUUAACCAAUUUAAUUGAAAGUGCAAUUUGAACGUGGUCUCUUUUUACUUGUUGCUUAAUUUCAUAAGGGUGUCUACAUUAUGCUAUAUUUUUUGUUUUGAAAGAUCAAAAUAGGUUGAAUAUUAAGAGGGAAUAGGGUUGUUGAGGUUAUUGAUUUCAAUCUUAAUGAAUUAGAAGGUGUAAGUGUCCUCAUAGAUUUCAUCAAUGAAGACCUCUGUUUAUAUUAUACAUUGACUUUUAGUAAAUAAAAUGAAUAGAAUAGCUACACUGUCACAUUUACAUGUACUUGUAUGCAAUCUAGUAUGCCCAUUUUUGGACAUCUUCAAUAGUUAGAUGGACAAAACAUCGUUGUUAGUCCAAAGCCUUUUAGUUGGACAUGAUCUUACAAAUAUUGGGCCAAAAUAAACUACUUACAUCAUCUCUUUCUAGUUAAAUUAACUAUGCUCUAUAUAUACGUACUUUUAUUGCUACUAAACUACAAAAGCAGUUGCAACAAUUGUCUUGCUGUGUGAACCACCACUCAUGUCAGAAAAUAAGUCCACCAUUGUAUAAUAUUAUAGAGUGAACCAUCUAAUUUAUUGCCAUGUCACUAUAUAAUCAAUUUGUUAACAAUGUAUAAACUUGUCUUCAUUUUAAUAUGAUAUUGUUAUGCUCUUUUCAUCCCUAAGGUUCAUUAUAUCGAACUAAUACAUAUUAGACAGUGUCAAAUUUUUAAUAUAAUUUAUUAUUAAGUUUCAACACUCAUCCUAAACAAUUUUUUGUAGUCUGAUUGGUUUUUGAACCAAUUCCUUCCUUCAUGAUGUCAAUUGUUGUGCCCUCUUCAUGUUCAGUAAAUGUAUUUAAGGUUGAGGGUCCACUCUAAUGUAUUGUAAACUUGAGCUAAAUCUAUCCCAAGGAUAAAUGAAUUUUUGAAUUGCUAAUUUGCUUAAAAUGCUAGUAGUUUGAUUGGUUCUUGGUUGAAUUAGUGUGUUGCAAUGUGUUUCAUGAUUGUUAGAGAAUUUUUUGUGUUUCAUCUUUGAGAAGCUAACUAGUAAUUAAAUUUAGACUGUCCUAUGCAAUCUUGUCUCUUCUCCACGUAUCUUUAUGCAUAUGGUUGAGGUGUUCACGUUCUGCUUGUCCUUUAUUAUUUCCACAUUUUGGUCUUCUCUUCUUAUCGCAUCACGUUCUACUUGCACCUAUUCAAAGUUGUCACGAAGUCCUAACAUGUAAUAAAAACUGUCUUUCAAGGUCUCUUCAAUGAGAUAUACUUGUUACGUAGCUUAACCUCAUGGUUAUUCUAUAGUAAUUUAUUCAUUAUGCGAAUUAUGGUAAGUUGGUAGGGGAAUAGUAGUUCAUACAAGUGUUUGUUUCCAAAGUGGAAGUUCUAUCCUAAAUUGCCUUUUUUUUUUUGUUUGAUUCAUUUAUUUUUUCCUUAGAAAUCUCAAUAUGGUGUGCCAUUACCAAAUUUAUCAGACUGAUGAAUGGUACGACUAUUUAAAUGACGAUUCCCUUUAUUAUGAGUUCUUCCAAGUGGGAGAUAACUACUAUAGACCAAAUUUCAAGUAAGCAGUUGUUGCAAAGUUGAAUCUUUCAAGGAUAAUUUCAUUCUUCAAUGGCUUCUACGAAGGUAAUGCUUUCUUUCAUGUUUUUUAUUUUCAUCAAUUUUGUUUGGAAGUUGAGAUUUUAACCUACUUAAGACACUUAAUUGUGUUGACUAUUAAGGAUUGUUUAUUACAUGAGCAUUCACUAAUAAAUUAUUGAUUCACAUGAAUAUGUUUGUUAGUUAUCUCCCUUCCCAUUAGCUUUUGUGGAUGGUGAGAAAAAAAAAAGGGAACACUUGACUUUAUAUAAAAUUGUUCAUGUUUAAUUCAAGUUUGUAGCAUAACUUCAAUUUAUUGGUUACCUCUGCAAGCUAUUUCAAGCAUGUGUAGAGGAAAAAAUAUGUAUUUCCUCAUUAUCAAGACAAACUAUAAGAAGACAACUAUUUUGUUAUUUUUUAAAACAUAUGGUUCAAAUUUUAAUUCCACGUUCAAUGGAAAAAGUCAUACACUCUUGUUUAUUCCGAGUUCUUUGAAGCAAGAUUAAAUAUGAUAACUACACAACACAAUCUUGCAGUUGAAUCACAUGUCUGGUAAAAAAGACUUAAAAAACUUAGUCAAUUUUAUUUGUAAAAUUAAUAUAUAUUCCUAGUAUACAAAGCUCAGUAAAAUGAAACUCUUAUUUAAUUCUAUUGCACUCUUCUUUAAUUAUAUUGUUGGUCCUUUAAGUACUAUUUAUGAUGGUAUCAAUGUUGUUAGUUGUUAUUGAGGAUUUAGCUUCACUGCACUACUGAAGUUUUAGUAGCACCUUAAUUGCUUCUUUCUGCUCUAGUUUCCCAUAGCUGGUAUUGUUUGUUUUUUCAUUCAAUUGUAUUGCUUUCUUAAGCACUGAUACAUAUUCAUAUUCAUGUUUAUACUUUUUUGUUGUUUAGUAAAAUUUAUGUCUAAGCUAUUGGUGUCGCAAUAACACUUUACAAAUAAUAUACUUUAAAAUGAAAAGCUAGUUACAUUACUUCUUACAUGCAAAUCACCAUAGUUUUUUAACCAUUCCAAAUAUAUUAAUACUAGUCCACUAAUUCUUCCACAUUUGAAAGAAAUAAAAAGGGAAUGAAACAAUAUAGUAACACUAAUUCAAUUUUCCUCUUUUUUUUUUUUUUUUUUUUUGUUGCCUCGUUCCAAAAGUCUUGACAAACCAUUAAUGAUUCUUUGUGGUAAAGAUGUAUCCAAUAAUCAGUCCCUAACCCACUUUCAUAUCCCAUCAACACCAUUUUCCUAUCAAACACUCUGGCAGGCUCAGUUCUUGACCCUGUUCAAAAGUUGAUGUUUGUGGUGAUGCUUGUUUAGGAUUUCCACAUUUCCUUAUCAAAGGAUUUCCACACAAUCCUGGGUUUCCCUCAUAGGAACCACUCCAGUAUUGCGCUCAUUAUCAUCACAUAGUGGCUGUAUAUAAGAAGUAGAGUUUGUCACCAUCAGAUUUUAACAUAAGAGUAAAAUCAGCGAGUGCACCAACAUGAAGAGAUACACAAAUGAUACCAUAAUCUCUAAUUUAAUUUAGCACUUUUGGAUACGAAAAAACUUGUAGUUCAAGUCUUAUGGAAGUUUCUGGCUGAUGUUGAGUCUAACUCUCCCUCACAUUUUUUCAAUAAAUAGAAAAAACAAGUUAAAAACCUUAUCUCGUGAAAUUGAAGCUCUAACUCCAAGUUUGACCAACUGCAUCAUGAAAAUAGAUGAAAUCCCAUGGUAGUGGCUAUUAAUUAGAUAAAAAUGCAUAGAUUAUGAAUAGACAAUAGCUUCAAUGCACAACUCUUUUUUGAGCUCUUUUGUCCACUAUAAUUUAGACCUAUACUAUUUCUCCAUAAUACUCAAUUAACAAUUGCAGUUAUGUUAACGGAAGUUGAGACUAAUGAUCUCCAACAAUUUUAAUGCAAACCACCAAAUUGUCGACAUAAUGUUUUUCUUCAAGAUUUCUCAAACUAUGCAACAAGUUACUGGAUGAGAAAUUAGAAGUAGUUCAAGACCUCAAGUUUGAAGGUCUUCUUAACAUAAACUGUAAGGAGAUACACCACAAUAUAUUUCUAUGGUUAAUCUACCAUUUUAACUUUGGAUUCAAACGCCUAGACAUCUCAGCCGACAAAAAAUAUGAUCUUACAACUGCUGAUGUGGGACUUGUCUUUGGCUUUCCAACAAUCGGACAGAUUCUACAAAUUGCAUCAACCCCAUUUGAUCAUUUGUUCGAUACACUCUACACAUGUGAGGAAAGACUCUUCAACUUACCUGUUGGGGAAGAGUUUCGAAGAUGCUUCAUUUACUACGCUUGUACGAUAAUAUUGGCACCCACCUCAAGGAUUGAUGGAUGCCGAAACUUGUGGCAUACCAUCCAUGAAGAUGGUUUCAUAAACGGCGUUAACUAGGACCAAUUUGUUAUUAACUAGCUUGUAAAGGAUAUAAGACAAUAUAAGCAAAGUAACAGUGUUUGGAUACAUCGUUGCACCCUUUUUUCUUAGGUAUUGCACUUUUUUUACAUGCGUUACUUGGUAAAUUUUUAAUUGUUAACAUUAGUAACCCCAAGUAGCGAUUGCACAUAUGUUUAUUUCCAUAAAAUAUAGCUCCAUUAUGUCAUGAAAUUCAAGAUUUCUUCCGUCUAUGUUCCCAUGACAGUGCCCCAACUCUCGGCAUGGCCAGAUGAGUUGAUAAAGUAGCAACUAGCUAUUGAGGUCAAGGAGUUUGGCACUUUUGGACAUGGCAAGGUAGUCAUAUAGUCUAUAUGCAUGUAAAAAUGUAAUUUAAUGACAUGCAAAUUGAACACCUUAAAGGUUUAUGUGUUUUAAACAAGCAUCAUGUUCUCAAUUGUAGGGAUUCGAUGAAUAGUCACCACCACCUACACAUGUGGAGGCCGAGAGUAGGCCCAUAAGUAGUGAUGUACGCAUGAUUUUUUGUUAUUUUAUGAGUUCAAUCUGUCUCAAUGGAAUUAUAAUUGGGUUUACUUGUCAAAAUAUUGUAAAUUAGGGGUUUUAAAGAUUUUUUUUUUUAAAGAGUUUUACACUAAAUAGUCUGGUGGACUUUGGUUGACAUGUGACAGGAAAUUUGGGAGCAGUACCAUAAAGCAGAACAUGCAAUAACGGCAUAUCAGAAGGUCAUACAACAACAACUUGGCGUCAUGCAUGGGUUGAUGCAUAGAUUGGGGGCCCGAAUGAAAAAAAAGUGUACCUUCGAGUGUUGCUAGUCACUCUGGGUAUGCAUCCGAUGCCUUUCCCGUUCCCGAGUAGCAUGCAAACUUUGCCCAAGAUGACAUGGCAUGGCAUGGCAUGACAUAGAAGACGUACCAAACACACCAAUUCAGUAGCCAGCCCCAGAUUUUCAUAUGGAGGUCGGAGGGUCAAAGUCAAAACUUAAUGGUAACAUUCUGGGGGACAUUCAUUACUACAGUAGUUCAUACAAAAUAACAAAUAUUAUAGUGUCCUUCAUUGAACUGAUUAGUUGUUAGUCCAAACCAAUAGAUGAUGAAGUAGUCGUCUAUGACCACUUUCCUUUGCAUUUUGUGAUUCUAGCCCCAUCCGAGAAAGGUGGGAGGCGACGAAGAGUGCGUCGGAUGGCUCCCAAUUUGUUGUCACCAUUCAUAGCGCAACCACAAACCCAACAGUCCGCCAUAAAGAUGGACCUGAAACAAGCAGCUGCAGUUAUAUUUGAUGGGGAUUUGGACCCAAGGUAUGUUGAACCAUAUACUACUCCAAUUUCAAUUAUAUGAACCUGAAAAAAUUUGUAUUACCCUAACAUAUAUGUUUCUAGUGAUAGUGAGGAACUAGUGGCAAUGCAUGACAUGAGUUUAAGCAGAGGCAACCUUGCCUAUUUCGAAUAAGACAACUAGAUUGGGAAUGAUGUUAAUAUCACAGUUUUUCCAUGAUCUUGCAUUAUUUUAAGUUUCAUAUUCAUGUAACAGCUUGUCAUUAGUGAUUGUUAAUCUUACUUACAUAUUAAUCAUUUUUUGUCUUAGGUCAUGGAUGCAUAUUAUAGGAUGCUACAGUUCAAAGAUGUAUCAAAGAUAAAACUGUUUUUUUCGCCAUACAUAGUUGUAAUGAAGAAUUUUUAUGGAGACUGAAUUUCAAUGAUUAGUUGUUAUAACAUGUACAUAAGUUUUGCUAAAUUUGAAAGCUUUAACUGUUUUCAUAUGAUAUAUAGGAAAUGGUCAUGCUCUCCAACGGCAAACAUUUGACGCGAGAAGCAGUAAUAGCCCUUUUUAAGCCACAUUUGUAUCCCCUAGAUGUUUCAUAUCGGAUUGUUAAUGAGGUGAGGUGGAUUGAAUUGUUUUAUGUUUGCAAUAUUGUAAUCUCAUUAACCCAAUAUUUAUUGUAAUUCAUUGGAAGUCAAAUAAUGCAAGUCUAUUUACCGAUUCUUGUAAAGAACCAUUGGACACUAUAUGUAUAUGACCUGUAGAACAAGAGAAUCCAUUUCCUAGAUUCUCGGCCAGGAAGGAAAAUGAGUUGUAUGAGUGGAAUACAAUAGAAUUUGGUAAAGUAGCUUGAAGUUGUGUAUAUUUUGUUGCAUUGUACAUAAUAAGGGGAGUUUGAAUCUGCUUUGUUUGAUUGUUUCAGGCGAAGGUUGUACCAUGGCUUGCUACCUACAAGAAGGAAGUGGUGGAUAUAGACUUUAAGACAUUCAGUUUCAUGAUGCCAGACGCACCAACCCAGCCAAAUGAGUGAGUGUUUAGUAUGUUUAAAUUGAUUGCAACGUAUUUUAAGUAUAUUAUAAUUGUCAUUCCACACAUAAUGAAUAGUUUUUUGUAAUUUUGUGUGUUAGUCAUGACUGCAGAAUAUUUAUUUGAAAUUCAUAGACUUCUAGUCAAUUAGGGGAUUAUCCAAAUCCAUCGAUGUGGUAUGUAGAUACACGAAAGUAUUAUAAUCUCAUUUAUAUAAAAUUAGCAUUACAUGGCCAAAUUAAUUAACAUUUUCUUAUGUCUUUUAAACUUGAAUGAAUGUAGGGCAAAUUGAAGAAGUAUAGACUGAAGAUAAUGGUUAGAUUGUUGUUUUCCACACAAAAUGCACAUCAACAUCAAUUUAUGGCAGAAUGAUGGGGACUGUUGAAUUGGAUGUGACAAGACUAAUUAUUUGAGAUGGUUGUACAUUAUUUGAGAAGAACAAACUGAUGUAAAUGUAUGCAUAUGUUAUUUGGUAGUAUUUGGGCAUAAUACAUAGAUAUAUUAUAAGUUAAGACUUAUUUAAAUUAAAACUAGCCACUUUUUUGGAAGGUUAGGUUAGACUGAUUUUGGAGAUAAUCACAACUGAAAUGAAACUGUAUGAUAGAAGUAUGUCAUAUAUUACUACCUCAGCUAUAGGGACUUGAUUUUUCAGGUAACACAGUGUUACUAAUAAUGUGCAGAUAGGUGUAAAGGUUGAUAGUGUCAUCUAAUAGGCAAGCUAUUGUUCAAAAUUGAAUGUAAUUGUAUGGCAAUUGUAUAGAGACUUUGUUUAUAUAUAUAUAUAUAUAUAUAUAAGUAUAUUGACUGUAAAAUGAAGUAUUGUCAUUUGAAUUAUGUAGGGAAUUUAAUUAACAUUGCUUUUAUAGUUGAUAAGAAGGUAUUAGGUGGUGGGUGUUUAAUUGAAUUAAUUUUCUGCUUAUUUUAAUAUAUUAUGUCUACCAUAUUAGGUACAACAUACUUUAUGCCCAAGUAUUUUGGGUUCAAUAAUAUUUGUGUACUUCUAGUGGGGGUAGCACAUAGGCAUAUGGAUGUACCUUGGGAAUUAAAUAUCUCCAUUAAAUUGAAGUAUUACUUCCAACUAAUAGGUAGAGAAUUGUAAUGAAAACCCAUAAACUCCUUUAAAUGCUUGUUACAUGGCAAAAAUUAGAUUGCUCCAACCCAUCUAUAUUUGCAUAGUAAAGAGCAUGCAAAGGUUCCUUGUAAGUGGGACCAAACCAAGUAAGGAAGUUGUAAAUUGAAGUUUGAAUCAAAGUUGAAAAUGAUACAAAUAGUUUAAGGAAAAAUAAGGUCAGACUUGUGAGUAGGGAUUUAGGAUGUCCAAGCAGACAAGUAGAAUAAAGUGGAUGUAUCUUUACGGGACAUAAUAACAAUAUACCUUAAUAGGUUUAUAAUUAUCUCAAUCAGAACGAUUUGAGAAUAUCUAUAUCUUAUAAUGGAAAAGAGCAUAUGACGUAGAACUGGUUAAAUGAAAGGACGUAAAUAGUAUAAAUCAUAUCUAAUCGAACAUGUAUUCGGGUAUGCGUAAAAUGUUCUCAUACUCACACAUUCACAAAUCCCAACCAUUGUCUUAUGAAAUUGGAUGCAAAUUCGCAAUAAUGACUCAAGAGCUCUUUGACGCAUCAUUCGAUUAUUUUCCAUGUGUAUCUCAACUAAUGCAUCUUCAAAUGCAAACAUUCUUUCACAAUGUAUUUGAACAAGAAUUAACGAGAGAACCCCGACAUGUAGUUGUUGUAAUUCCAUGACUAAAUCAGUUUGUUCCCACACCCUAUAAGCCCACUCUCUACGCAUUAUUCGUAAUUGAUCAUUGAAGCUAAUUAAUGAUAAUUAAUGAUCAACUUUGAUUCCAAACAUCCCAUUAUUAACUUACCACCCCAUGGUAUAACAUUGAAAUUAGCAUCACAUAUUGUUAAUCUUACAAUCAAUUAUAAAUAACACUGACAUAUUGCAUGUCAUGCCGUAUCGAAUAUAUUCAUUCUGAACACAUUGUAGGUGAAGUAAAAUUUGGUUAGAAAAAAUUAAUAAUUAUCUUUUUGAAUUUACCAAUGAUUCACAUUUUGCCACAUUUUAUAAAUAUGUGACAGUGAAAUAAAAUAAUAAUAUUAUGCAUGUCAUAGCUUUGAAUAUAUUCGCUUUGAAGAUCUUUCGGGGCCACUCAAAUAGGACGUUAUGAUGUAGGUGAAGAACACUUUGAUCAUAGGAUAUUAUUAACUUUUACCAAUGACUGAAAGGGGUGUGUCAUGAGAACAAUAUUCAUCUGAAAAUUAACUACAAAAUGACACUUUUAACAGGCAUACGUAUUUAUAUUAAAAAUUUUAAUAUAAGUCUUGUACUUUUGUGUUUAUAUUGCAAAUAAGCUCUCAUGCCAAUAUUACGAGUAGGCCUUCCAACCAAUCUUCAAACUAUAUAAAUGUUAUAACCUCAACUUUAACACCAUUGCCUAGUUCAAAGCACCGUGUAAAGAACCUUGAUUCCAAACGGAUAACAACCAUAUUGUUCAGGUAUGUUUGAAAGCAUAAAUUUAAUAUUUCAUUUCUUCAAUUAAGCAUAUUAUCAAUGUUUUAGGCAAAUAUAAAAGAAAUACUCAUGCAAAGAUUGUUGAUUUGUUUGCAUCAAUAUAAACAACUACAUGGCAAAUGAAGAGAAGUUCUACGUUGUUUUUGUUGGAAGGAGACCGGGUGUAUACACAACUUGGCUUGAAUGCCAAGCUCAAGUAAUUGGUUACAAGGGUAAUGUUUAUAAAUCCUACAAAACUCAUCCUCAGGCUAUAUCAGCAUGGGUGAUGUAUGAGCCUUGAUGGAAAAUACCUAAUGCACCUAUUGAAUCCUCUAUGACUGAAGAGGUUAACCGGGUUAUUGGCCAACUGGUGGAUGACCAAGUAUUAAAGAAGAUUGAAGAAAGAAAACAAAAUUUCCUUACUCCUUUUGUCCUCGGAUAUGUUGUAACAUUCACGAUCAUGUUUGGCAUUCAGAAUUUCUUCUAGGUAUGUUGAAAUGUGGUGCGACUAAGCUACAUGUUGUAAUUGUUUUACAUGUCUUAGAUGCAAUGGUACUCUGGUCUUUCAUUUUGCAAGCUAUUUUAGUUUUAAAACAAUACUAAAAUAGCAUAAAACAAAAUAAGAACUUACAAAUUGUUGAUGAUGAAAUUUAAAGGGGAAAUGACAAAGCGAGUUCUUCAAAAUUCUUUAAAAUCCUUCAAGAUAACUUACCUUGUACAAUUAGCACCCGUACCUUGUACACUUAGUGUAAAUGCCUUGUACACCUGCACAAUUUACAUACAACUAUAAUGCAAUGUGAGCAUAUAGGUGGGUUAACUAUGAUUCAAUUGUCAUGGCUCAGGAAAAGAGGUAAAAAAAUGAAAUCAAACCCAACCAUGUAUCCCUAAUAAUCAUUUAGGAAUACAAGGUGAUGAAAUGAAUAUAUAUGAGGUCAAAUAGAUGGAAGGGCUGCACGUGAUCAACCAAUAUGUGUGAGAAAUGUUUCUCAUCCUCGGAAGAGGAAAAUGAGCAAGUCGGUUCCUCAAAAUCAUUUGAAAAAAUUUGAGAUAGGUACCCUUGUACACCCUCAUAUAGUUAGCAUAUUUGUCUUGUACACUUAGUGUAAAUGCCUUGUACAAUGGCAGAAAUUCCAUACACCUGCAACACAUGAAUCCAUAUGGGUGGGUGAACGAUGUUCCAAUGCCAUAAGUUAACAAAAUAUGAAAAAAUUGAUGCCAAAUUACGUUCCUCUUCAUCAUUACUGUGGUAAGUUAUAUGAUGAACAUGUACGAACUCACAAAAAUGAAUGGGAUGAGUGUGUGAUCAAGUAAUGUAUGUGAAAAAUGUCCCUUAUUGUUGGAAAAUGGAAAUGACCAAGCGACUUCUUCAUAUACCUUGAAAUCCUUGUGGAUAGAUACCUUGUACACCUUGUACAGUUAGCACACGUACCUUGUACACUUAAUGUAAAUGCCUUGUACACUUGCACAUUUACAUACACCUUUAAUGUGAUGUGUGCAUAUGGGUGGUUAACUAUGAUUCCAUUGUCACGCCUUAAGAAAAGAUGUAAAAAAGUUUUAAUCGAACCUAACCAUGUAUCCUUAAUCAUCAUUUAUGAAUACAAGGUGGUGGAAUGAACUUGUAUGAGGCCAAAUAAAUGCAUAAGUUGCACUUGAUCAACCAAUAUGUGUGAUGAAUGUCUCUUAUUCGUGAAAAAUGGAAAUAAGCAAGUCAUUUUCUCAAAAUCAUUUGAAAUCCUUCAAGACAGGCAUCCUUGUACACUCUUGUAUAAUUAGCAUAUUUUCCUUGUACACUUAUUAUAAAUGUCUUGUAUAGUGACAAAAAUUCUACAUAACUAGAACUGAAUGUGUGCAUUUGGGUGAGUUAACGAUGUGCUAAUGUGAUGCCUGAGGGAAAAGAGGGAAAAUUAAACCCAAAUUAGCUUUGUAUUCAUCAUUAGUAUGGUAGGUCAUUCAAUCAACAUGUACAAGGUAAAAAAAAAAAAAAAUUGAAUAGGAUAAGUGCGUGAUCAAGGAAUUUUUGUGAGGAAUGUCCCCCAUCCUUACAAAAGGUAAAUGAGCAAGCCAAUUUUUAAUUAAAAAAUAUUUGAAAUCCUUCAACAUAGGUACCCUUAUACACCCUUGUACACUUACCAUAUUUUCCUUGUACACUUAGUGUAAAUAGCUCGUACAAUGCCAAAAAUUAGACAUAGUGACACUUGAAUGUCUACUCAUAUAUGAGUUAACCAUAUUUACAAUGUUUUGGUUAAUAGAAUGGGGAAAAAUUGAAGUCUAAAUUUGUUCCCCAACUACUAGUCAUCAUAUUAUUCAAAAACAACUACUAGUCCAUGAGUCUUACACAAUAAUCAUAUAAACAUAUCAAUGAAUGAUACACAUGGAAAACCCUUCUACUAACUUCCUACAUGUAAAACAUUUAAUAUUCACAAACAAUUUUCCCUAUUAUUAUUGUCUUACUCAAACAUAAAGGAGUUUCAAUCAUACAAUUAAUGAGGUCCCAAACAUAAAGAAUUUUAACAAAGAUGGAUAUGACAAUUCAUUCCUAAACCUAAUAAAAACACCCUCAAUCCUCCACAAACUUGGGUUCCAAUUCCACAAAUUGUACUAACCCGAAAACCACUUCAACAGGUCGAACAUAUUUUCAUGUUCAAAGGAGGUCAUAGGGCAUAUACCCCACUACCAGUGUUGCAAUGGCUUUAGAUUUUCAAGGAAAUUCUUGUUUUUCAAAUUUGUUUGACUUGAAUGAAUUGUCAAGGCAUUGCAUGAUCUUCACAUAGUCUUCUUCCCCAAACUUCAUCCUCUCUCUCUUUACGCACCAUACUCAAAUCCUCUCUCUGAAUUUAUUAUAUUGGACAAUAGACCCAGGUUAUAGCCACAUACACAUUUUAAAUAUAUCUAACAUGACAACUUUAAUUGACCACAUAUGAAACCCAAAUUUUACAAACAUUUGCUAUGAAAAUUUGAAGGGUAUAUUUGUCUAUUGAUAUUUUAUAUCCUUUCUCUCAAUUAUGCAAUUUAUAUGGACCAAAGGUUAAUUUUUCAUUGGAAAUGAGUGUGCGAGUUCUUCAAAAGAAUUUGAAAUCCUUCAAGAUAGGUAGACUUGCACACCCUUGUACAAUUAGCACAUUUGUCGUGUACACUUAGUGCAAAUGCCUUGUACAAUCGCAGAAUUCCACAUAGGUAUAACUGAACGAGUGCUUAAGAGUGGGUAAACAAUGUUUCCAUUCUCAUGGAUCAGGGAAAAUAAGGAAAAAAGUUGACCCUAAUUUCGAUUCAUAUUCAUGAUUAGUGGAGGAACUAAUAGAAUGAAUGAACAUGGUGGACAUCAAACAAAAUGGAUGCAAUAGGUGUGUGGUCAAGGAAUGUCCCCCAUGAUUGGAAAUAGUAAAUGAGUAAGUUCUUCAAAAUCAUUUCAAAUCCCUUAAAAUAGACACCCUUGUUCAGUCUUGUACAAUUAGUAUAUUUACCUUGUACACUUUGUGUAAAUGCCUUGUACAGUGGCAGAAAAUCGACAUAGCUAUAAAUGAAUGAGUGCAUAUGGGUGGGUUAACGACAUUCCAAUGUCAUGGCUAAGCGAAAAGGGGGAAAAUGAAACCCAAUUUAGGUACCUAUUCAUCAUUACUAUGGUAUCUCAUCCAAUGAAUGUGUACUAAAGGAAAUGAGAAAUGUCUAUGAGGAAUAUCCCCCAUCCUUAGAAAAGGGAAAUGAGCAAGCCAAUUUUUCAAAAUGAUUUGAAAUCCUUCAACAUAAGUACCCUUAUACACCCUUGUACAAUAAGCACAUUUAUCUUGUACACUUACUAUAAAUGCCUUGUAUAAUGGCAAAAAUUUGACAUAGCUACAACUGAAUGAGUGUAUAUGGGUGGGCUAACCAUGUUCCAAUGUGAUGCCUAAGGGAAAAGAGGGAAAUGAAACUCAAUAUAGGUUUCUAUUCAUCAUUAGUACGGGAGGUCAUCCAAUGAACAUGUAUGAAGUAAUAAAAUUGAAUGAGAUGACUGCGUGGUCAAGGAAUGUGUGUGAUGAAUGUCUCUCAUCCUUACAAAAUGGAAAUGAUUUUAAAUGGAUUUGAAAUCCUUUAAAAUAGGUACCUUUGUACACCCUUGUACACUUAGUGUAAAUUUCUUAUACCGAGGAAGAAAUUCCAUACAACUACUAUUGAAUAUCUGCUCAUACAUCAUGUUUGCAAUGUUUUAGUUCAUAAAAUAAGGAAAAACUAAAGUAUUAAUUUCUUCCCCAACUACUAGUCAUCAUAUUAUUAAUUUUCUAUUCAAACAUAAAGGAGUUUCAAUCAUACAAUUAAUGGGGUUGUGCUUUGGAUCAUAGCAAAAAAAAUUUUACAAAUAUGAAUAUCACAAUUCAUCCCUAAACCUAAUAAAAACACACUCAAUCCUCCAUAAACCUAGGUUGGAAUUCUAGAAAAUAUACUUACCCCACAAAAGUACUCCAAAAAGUCAUAUACCCUAUUUAGCAUAUUUUCAUCUUCACAAGAUGUUGCUAGGUCACUGCCAUCAUCAUGGCCACACUUGUAGCCAUUUUAAAUCUUCAUCAGAUUUCUUCAUUUUCUCUGUUUCGUGUGGUAAACCAACUUCACAAUUAUGACAACCAUCUUCUCUACUUUCAAGAUACGUUUGAUCUGAAGGAUAGCUAUUCUAGAGGAAUUUCAUCAUCAUAAAAGAAUCUUCUUUCCCAAGCUCACCGUCUCUCUCCAUCGACCAUACCCAUUUUUCUCUCUAGACGAUUGACCCAGCAAGUAGAUUCUAAAGUUGGAUUUUUAAGACAGAUGACAUGCCAUUUUUCCAUUUCUGAGUUGCUCACAAUCCUCAGUUGUUGAAGAAAUGAAUUGGGAGACAUUGGAGUCAAGGGAGAGAAAGAGGUAGGGAGUGGUGACCGGCCUUUAUUUCAAAUUUUAAAGACUAGUGACACGGCAUUUUUUAUUUAACAAGUAUGAAACUCAUUAAUUUAAAAGCCUCUGAGUUGGAAAUUUGAAGGGUAUAUUGCUUUCUUCAUAUUUUAUAUCCUCCCCAUCAAUUAUACAACUUAUAUGGACCAAAGCUUAAUUUUUGGGCCCAAUUGGAUCCAAAACACAAUUUUUCCUUGAUUUAACAUUAGAGAGUCCUUAGCCUAGUCAAUUGAUUAUAAGCUCUACCUUUGUUUGGUGCAAUCAUAAGUUUUGAAAAAGCUGACAACCAUCUCUGUGUUGAAGCCAACAUAUCAUUCUAAAAGGGUGAUAUGUAAAAGGAUCAAAAUUUUAAAAUGAAUACUAAAAUAAAAUAUAAUAAUUAGUAUCUUUUUAAAAAAUAUAUAUAUAUAUUGAAACCAUAUUUGGAGAAGAUCAUUAUAAUCAAAUAAUCAAAUACUUCUUAAAAAGUAAUAUAUAUAUAUAUAUAUAUAUAUAUAUAUAUAUAUGUAUUAUUAAAAUAUAGUUAGAAAAACAAUACUUGAACAUGUUCCAAACUCAGAACAAAUUUCAAAAGAAAAGUGAAACCAUCAAAAAUGACUUAUUAACAUGGAAACAUAAUCCCAAAAAUACUGGCCAUUACCAUUUAUAAAUGGGGAAAUUUCUAGCUUUGAACAAAAAAAUAGAAAAUAAAAGAUCAAAUGUUACAAACAUUUUCAGGGGUAAUUUAGUAUUUUUAACUAUGAAAUUAUUAUUUUUGUUUAACUAUAUAUUUAAAAAAUAGUUUUAAAAACAGUUUUCAAAAAAUAUUUUAUAGAAAGUAAAAUAUGAAAAAUAGUUUGCUCAUUUUAUUUUCCAUAGGUCUUUAAUUUAAAAUUUUUUUAUUACAAUGUUAAAUUUUUUAGUGAUUUAAUAAUGUUGAUAAUAUUUCUCUUUCCACGAGUAGAAGUGGGUGAAUUAGCUCCUUUAUUUUUUAUUUUUGGAAACUAACAUUUUAAUCUUGUAAAGAAAAGUAAUUAUGUUAACUUAUAGAUGUGAAUAUAUUAAUUUAUAUUGAAAUUAACUUGAAGAAAAAAGAAAAAAAAAUUUAAAAAUUUGGAUAUAAAAAAAUAAUUAGCAAACUCUCACAUUUGAUUUAUGAAAUUAAAAAAAAAUUAUAAUUUCUAUUUAGUUUUAACAAGUAACGAAAAUAUUAAGAUACUGUAAUGGUAUCUAUUGAAGUUCAAAUUUGGAUUGUUGAAAAUAUAUAUAUAAUAAGAUUUAAAUCGUUAAAUGAGGAUACAAACAAAUAGAAUCAAAGUAUAAGGAUACAAAUAAAUUAUAUUAGAAUACAAACAAUAAUAUUUGAAAAUGUUUAUUACAAACAAUUAAAUUACUUGAUCAGUGGUAUUUUUUUCUAUAUCUAAAAGAAAAAAAAAAAAAAAGGUAUUGUGGACCCUAGGUUUUGCACGAUACGUUCUCACUCGAUGACGCAACUUAUUUUUUUUCAUUUGGUAAAAAAUAUUUUUUUUAUUUGAUAAAAAAUAUCAUUUUUAAAAAAGACUUGAAAUCGUCAUUUAUUUUUGCUUUAUUUUUAAAGGGUGACAGUGUAUUUUUGUCACACAUGACAUGCAACUCUGGACACUUAUGGAGGCCAUCUCCCACUCCUCCAAACAAAAACAACAAAAAAACACCAACUCCUCUUAGGUCGAAAGAGGGGUCUACAAGUAUAUUUCUUUAGCCAACAAGUAAAUAUCAUUUUUAGUCGAUCAUGGAUAGAGGCAUCCACGAGAGGCUAAUGUUUGUCCUUGCUCUAUAUCUCCCACGUGGAGCUUAGGGGGAGGGAGGCGACAAGUGUGUGAUGCCCAAGCAAACAUGAUCUCAAUGGCUCGACCUAAUGGUUUGAAGCAUAACUUGCAUUUAAAGAUUCAAUGAUUUAUGAAAUUAUGUAAUUCACACUAAAAAUUAGUUAAAGCAUGGAUUUAAGGUCCUCAACUUUUGCAUAAUUAAUAAUAAGAAUAUAAAAUAUAAAAGAUAAAAAUAUCCUUAAAAAGGAAAUCAUGCUUAUUGCUUAUCAAACAUUAUGAAUAAACGAAUCGAUAAAUUGAAUACUAGGGAAUUAAAGAAUAACCAAAUUAACCAUAACGCUUGACUUUCUUCUAAGGCCCUUCAACUUAUGAGCCGAGAAUAUCCAAUCCAAGGAUGGGGUGAUAACGGGGUUAACGGAGGCAAAUGGAAUGCCCCUUCCAUGUCUCUCUCCUCCCAAACGGUCCUCCAACUUGACGGCGUUAGCGGACUCGCCUCCAAAACAUUAGCCGCCUCCGCCACCACGGGGCUGUCAGAAGCCGGUGGGGCUUCUUCUUGCUUUAAAACCUUGAUCUCCGGUUGUUCCCUCUCUUCACUUUCGCUUUCUCUCUCCCUUUUCCGGAUGGAAGUCGCCGGUGGGUCAGAAUCCGACCAAUUCCCUGCUUCAAGAGGAAAAUUAAGAACAGCUUUGGAGCCACGCAUUUUGAAAGCAGCUCGAUCAUAAGCUCUGGCGGCUUCAAUGGCUGUCUCGAAGGUUCCAAGCCAAACCCUAGAUCCUCUCCGAUUCGGGUCUCGAAUCUCAGCCGCGAAUUUUCCCCAAGGCCGGCGGCGUACUCCUCGAUAGUGCCUUCUCUCGCCGGAAUCUAACGAGGACGAAGUGUGAGAAAUGGGUGGCGGAGGAAGGGAGAUGCUGAGUGGGGGCCGCCGAUGACUCAAUCUGGAAGGUUUUGGGGAUUCGGUUUGAAACUGGAAAACGGCAGAUGGAGAAGAGGUAGAGCAGUCGAAGAGAAAAGCGUUGCUUUCAUCUUCAUGGAGUUUCGGGUACUCGGAAACUUGAAUAAUAUCAUCCGUAGAAACACUUGAAUCAGAGGCCGAAGAUCGUAACGAAUGACUUGCAUGAGAGACGAAGGUUUCCAUAGAAUCAAAGUCGGAGAGGAGGAGUUGGUGGAUGAGUUGCAGUGAUGAAGCUUCUUCUCCCAUGAUUGGAGAUGAGCAGUGAGGAAUAGUCUAGGGUUGAAAGUCGAAACAAGGUGAGAAAGAGAGAGAGAGUAGGGGGAAGAGAAGUGAGUGAGUGAAGCUCUGUGCAUCAAGUAUGAGGUUGUUGUGGCGUAUAUAUAGACACAUAUAUGGGGAAAGGAGGUUUCAGAUGAGGUUCCUGGUUAGUUCAAAGAAUGUUCUGUACAUGGCGGCUGAUUUGUGGUUGGAUGGGGUGCUUCAUUUUAAAUCUAGGCAAUGCCUUGAAUGUUACUCAAGUCGGAUAAGGACACUUUAUUAUUUGGAUUACCACUAUAUAUAUAUAUAUAUAUAUUCUCUCAUGAUUAUAAUUAAUUUACAUCCUAAAAUUGAAGAUGCUAAUAGGUUAAAGAGGAUAAGAUGAGCAAGGGGAAAAGAAGAUAGUUAUAUAAAUGAACCUUGUUUCGAGAAAAUGCCCACUGAGGUAUAAGAGAGGAUUCAAUAGGGGAGGAGUUGUUAUUCUUUUUUAUUGGAAUAAGAUAUUUAUGAAGUUUCAUUGAUUUAUUUAUUUUUCUAAACAUUUUCAUUUUAUAGGUUUUUUUGUUUUUUCUAGAGUUAAUAAAUAUGACAACAGAGUGGAUAUACGAUUGAUUGCCCAUUAAAAAAAUUAAAUUGGGUGCAUUUCUCAUUCCUGUCCUAUCCCUUUUCGUUUAAUUUUUUUUUGAAAAUUUUUUAAAAUUCUUUUUAAAAUAUUAUUUUAAAAAUUAUUUUAAUUACAUUAAAAUAAAUAUAUUUUAUAAAUAAUUAAAAUAUUAUAAUUUUAAAAAUUAUUUAUUGAAAAUUAUAUUAUUAUUAUUAUAAUAUAUUAAAAAUAGAAAAAUAAAAAUUAAAUUAAAUUAAUUUUAUAUAUAAUCUAGGCAAGAUAGGAUCGGAUAAUACAAAGCAAUACCUUAAUGACUCUCCAGUUUAAAAAUUUAAAUAAAUAAUUUUUUUUUAAUUCAUUUAUUUAAAUUUUAAACUUAUCUCAUUAAGAAUGAAGUUGAUACCAAAAAAACUCACUCUAUUGUCGUCUCUAAGAGUUAACAAAUUUAUAAGCCUUAAAUAUUGAUUUCUUAUUAAAGUUGAUUAGCCAUAAUAGACUAAAGGUUACUCCACAUGGCAAUUGGAGCAAUGGAUUUCUUUUAGGAAGGAAAAAGCCAUUUCUUGCAAUAAAUUUCUUUUGGGGGAAAAGAUCUGAAAGUAUCAAUGUAGGGGUUUUGUUGACGAGUCUAGAUAUAUUAAUGAAUGUACGGUUUUUGUUUACGAGUCCAGGCAUAAGAAUUUCAUUUCUAAUAAACGAGUAAGAAAAUAUAUGAAAUUUAACUAUCACAUACCUUUAUGGGGUUCAGGACAAGACAAGGAUUUAAUGCAGUAGUAAUGUAUUUUUAAAAAUAUUUUUUAAAAUACUGUAACAUAAAAAAUAUUCUAAAAUUAUAAUAUUUUUCAAUUUCAAGUAGAAUUCAUCUUUUGAAAAGAUGAGUUCAAUAAAAAAAAAAAUAGGAUAACAAAAAAAAAAAAGAAUUUGUCUUUUAAAAAUAUGAAUUCAGUACAAAAUGUGAAUUCAUAUUUUGAAAAAGUUGAAUUCAGUAUAAAAAGUAAAUUCGUCUUUUAAAAAAAAUGAUUUUAGUGUUAAAAAAAAAAGUAAUAAAAAAUAUUGUAUUUUGUGUAAUUAUUUUUUAAACCACUGGAUUGAGGUGGAGUAACCUUUUUCUACCAUUAUUCUAGUUUUGUUUUCAUGAUUUCCCAUAAAAUGUCAACAUUAUACAUUUUAAGUUGGGGGAAAGGUCAUAACUAACCUCUAAAAUUUUAAAAACUUUUGCUUUAUUGUCAAGGAUGUCACUUUGUUUUGUUUUUAUUAUUGAAAUUUUUUCAUAAAUCACUCUAUUUAUAGAAUAUUUUUGAUGCUAUGAGAGGUUAGCUAUCUUGAUUUUGAUAUGAAUUCAUUUACUUUAAUAUACAAAAGCUUUGUUUGGUUUGCUUUAGCUAGACAUCUUUAUAACAUACUAAGUGAAAUACUUCAAAUAUAUGGAUCCAUUGGCAAGCAAUGAAAUUGAUACUUUGAUACUUGAAAGGAACAUCACAUGUUAGUUUAGUAUAUGAUAAAAUCAGCGAUGUCUCUUGACAAUUCUUCGUUAUGUUAAUUCUAACCAUUUUGGAGAUUUGGUAAGGUCUAUAAUAUGUAUAUUCACUUUAUAUGGUAAGUGUUAUUAGCUAGAAAGCAACCUUGUAAUUUAUAAUUGUUUUGUCAACAAUUGAAGUAGAAUACAUGGUAAUCACAUAAGUAGUAAAAGAAGUUAUUUGACAGUGUUUGAUUGUCGAUUUAAGCUUAUAAUAAGGGUUGAUUGUUGUGUAUGGUUAUGGUCAAAGUGUUUAUACAUUUGAUCAAAAAAUCAUAUGUUCCAUGAGAUAACCAAACAUAUUGAUAUCCAAAUGCAUUUUAUUGGGGAUGUUAUUGCACAGGAUGCUAUUGUAAUUAUAAAAAAAAAAAUCCCUACAAUGGAUAUUCUAAUAGGCAUGAUGACUAAAAUCAUUUCUACAAUCAAGUUUAAGUAUUACUUUUGGACUUAAUUAGUGUUAGCAAUAAUUUUGGAGAAACAACAGUCAAGCAAGAAAACUUAUACAUAAUUAAAAGAAUAAACAAAUUCAAUAACAUUAAUUUAUGAAAUAAAUCAACUCCAUCAAACUUCAAUUGCCGGUGAGAACUCUCAUUCAACUAUAAGUUGAGAAUACGCUGUCCAAUGAUGGGGUCAUGAUGGCGUUAACGGUGGCAAAUUGAAUACUCCCUUCAUCUCUCUCUCUUCCCACACAGCUCUCCAACUCGACGGCGUUAAUGGACUGAUCCCCAAAACACUUGCUGCCGCCGCUGUGCUGUCAGAUUUCGGAAACUCCACUUCUUCUUGCUUUAAAACCUUUAUCUCCACCUGUUCUCUCACUUCGGUCUCACAAUCUCUCUCCCUUUUACGGCCGGAUGUGGCCGGUGGGUCAGAACCCGACCAAUUCCCUGCUUCAAGGGGGAAAUUGAGAAUAGCUUUGGAACCACGCAUCUUGAAAGCUGCUCGAUCAUAAGCCCUGGCGGCUUCAAUGGGUGUCUCGAAGGUCCCCAGCCAUACCCUCGAUCCUCUCCGAUUUGAGUCCCGAAUCUCCGCCGCGAAUUUCCCCCAUGGCCUUCGCCUGACCCCUCUAUAGUGCCUGAUCUCGCCGGCAACUGGCGCCGAUGAGGGCUGAGAAGUGGGUGGCGGAGGAACUGAGAUGCUGAGUGGGGGUCGCCGUUGACUUAAUGUGGAAGUUUUUUGGGAUUUGGUUUCAAACUGGAAGACCCCAGAUGGAGCAGAGGUAGAGCGGUGGAGGAAAAAAGAGUUAUUUUCAUGUUCAUUGGGUUUCAAGUAAUCAGAGACUUGAACAAUAUGUGAGGUGGAAACGCUUGAUUCAGAAGUUGAAGCUUGCGAUGCUUCACCUACAUCAGAAACGAUGGUUUCCACACAUUCAAAGUCGGAGAGGAGUUGCUGGUGGACGAGUUGAAAUGAUGAAACUUUAUCUGCCAUGUUGGAGAUAAAUCCCAGUGAGAGAGAGAGAGAGCUGGAAGUAGUGAAGAGGAGUGAGUGUGGUGGAGUUCUAUAUGCACAAGAGAAUGUCGUAGAAAAACAGAUAUGGAAAGACGAGGUUUCGGUCGAGGUUUCUGGGUCAGAGGGAAGAAUCUUCAAUUCAAUAAUUGUGGAGUCGAGAAACUGGGUGGGGUUUGUCUGUAUGUGCUUUACUUGUGGAGGCUCCAUCAGACAUAGUUGAGUUGUUUCUAGGACAUUUCUUCUUACGUGUAUGCCAUUCCUCCAAUAGAAAUUAAACAAAUAAACCAUUUUCUUAUGGACUAUGUCACAUUCACCACUAUUUUAUCACUAAUACUAUUUUAGUAACAUGUUUAUAUGGAAUGUGAGAAUAAAAUAUAAUGAAAAGUUAUUUCUAUUUACUUGUAUAAAUUUUAUUGUUUGCUAAUUAUUAUUUAUUAUCUAUCCAAAGUGAUAAAAAUGAUGGUAAAAAUAAAAAUAUUAUCAGUACUUUUCACUUCUUAUUAGACUUUAUUCUACAUAAAUUAAGAUCGGCAAUUUUCUUAUCCAAAUAUGUUUGUGGCACAAUUUGAAAUUUUAUAAUAAGACCUUUUCUUUUUUAAAUAUUACCUAAGUUUAAACAUAUAUAUUACAAUUUUUUUAAUAAAAAAUUAUGUGUAUCAUGAGUUCAUACCUUAUUUUAACUAUAUCUUACGUAAAUAAAAACUUUUAAUUACAUUAUUAGUUUUUCUCAUUCCUUCGAUUUCUUUUUGUAGUUGGGGAGGAAGGAUGUUUGGACAUAAUAUACAAUAUACAUCUUGUAAGUGCUAAAAUCAAUCUAAACAUGCUCAAAAAGCAUAUAUUACUAAUGUAAUCAUGCUCAAAACCUUAAUAAUACAUAUCAAAUGCAAACAAAGGAAGAACCAAAACAUACCUCCAACCAUUGAUGGUUUGGGAAUCCGAAAAUCAAAUUUGAUAUUUAGAUGGGUUGAGGUGUUCUAAACUCUUAAUCAAUCUUAAAUCAAUAGUGUAUAUAUGUCCGAAUAGAGAUUGGAGGCUUAGGGGCCUAACCACAAGAGCUAUAUUUAUGACAAUCAGGAGCCAUUUAGGAAAGUGUAACAUUGUUCCCAGAAUUGAUGGAAUAUUAUAGGUCAAAUUUCGUUUAGGAAAAUCUAACAUUCUCCCAAUUGGUCCAUAUAUUCCAUCAUUUACCAUAGUAAGAAACAAAAUACACAAAUCAUGGGAUAGUUCUCUAAAAUGAUGAGGAAUAUUCCUCACACACAUUGUUUGAUCACAUACUCAUCUCAUGCAUUUUUUUGACCUCAUAUAUGUUCAUUCCAUUACCUACCCCAUUAAUGAUGGAUAGGAACAUAUAUUUGGGUUCAAUUUUGUUUUUAUUCUUUUUCCUGAGCCAUGACAAUGGAAACAUGGUUAACCCACCCAUAUGCCCACAUUGCAUUAAAGGUCUAUGGAAUUUGUGCAAGUGUACAGGGUAAAUGUACUAACUGUACAAGGAUGUACAAGACUAACUUCCUUGAAAGAUUUCAAAUGAUUUUGAAAAACUCAUUCUCUCAUUUCCCUUUUCCAAGGAUAGGGGACAUUCCUCACACACAUUACUUGAUCACGCACUCAUCUCAUGCAUUUUAUUUAUCUCGUACAUGUUCAGUCGAUUACAUACCCCACUAAUGAUGAAUAGGAACUAAUAUUGGGUUCAAUUUUUCCUUUUUUACCUUGAUCCAUGAUAAUGGAAACAUGGUUAACCCACUUAUAUGCACACAUUUAGUUUUACCUCUGUUGAAUUUCUACCAUUAUACAAGACAUUUACACUAAGUGUACACGGAAAAUGUGUGAGGUGUACAAGGGUACCUAUCUUGAAGGAUUUCAAAGGAUUUUGAAAACUCGCUCGAUCAUUUCCCUUUUCCAAGGAUGGGGCACAUUCCUCACACACAUUGUUUGAUCACAUACUCAUCCCAUAGAUUUAUUUGAACUUGUACAUAUUCAUUCAAUAAACUACCUCACUAAUGAUGAAUAGGAAUCUAAAUUGGGUUCAAUUUUCUACCUUUUCCCCGAACCAUGACAAUGGAAACAUGGUUAACUCAACCAUAUGCACAAAUUUCAUUAUACGUCUAUAGAAUUUGUGCAAGUGUACAAGGUAUUUACACUAAGUGUACAAGUUAAAUGUGUUAAAUGUACAAGGGUGUACAAAGGUACCUAUCGUGAAGGAUUUUAAAGGAUUUUGAAAAUUGGCUUGACUCUUAUUUUUAAAUUUCAUCAUCCAAAAUUUGUGACUCCAUGUUUUGUUUUUCAUUGUUUUAGCAAUGUUAUUUGUUUGUACAUUUGAAUAAGUUAUGAAAGGGGAAUAACCAGGGUACCAUUGCAUGGAAGAUACGUAAUAACAACUUCAAGAUGACUAGUCUUGAUGAAAAACAACAACAAAUGCAACGUCUAACUUAAUCGUACCACGAUUGAGCAUAACUAAAAGAACUUUUGAACAGAAAAUAUGAUUAUGAAUGUUACAACACAUCCCAAUGCAAAAGAAGUAAUGAAAUGUGAUUUCCGAUCUUUGAUCUUUUUUAAUUCUUAGUCUUCUACUAGUUUCUUAAUAUCUUGAUUAACCUUUUCAAACCUAGACGAUUCAAUAGGUGUUUUAGGUUUUUUUCCACCGAGGCUCAUACAUUACCCAGGCCGAUACAACCUCAUGAUGUGUUUUUUUUAUGAUUUCUAAACAUUACCCUUGUAACCAAUAAUUUGAGUUUGGCUUUCAAGCCAAGUUCUGUACACACCUCAUCUCCUCCCAACAAAAACAACAUAGAACUUGUAUUCGUUUGCCAUAUAUGGCUCCUCAUACACACAAUUGCAACUGUAUUUGUUAAUACUGAUGCAAACAAAACACCAUCUAUGCAUGAGUCUUUUUUCCAUAUUUUCUUAAAACAUUAAUAGACAAAUUUAAUUUAAAAUAAGAAAUAUAGAAUUGUUGCCUUAAAACAUACCUAACCAAUAUGGUUGAUAUACAUUACAAAUCGAGGUCGUUUACAUGAUGCAUAGAUCCAAACAAUAGUGUUUAAAGGUUAUACCAUUUAUAUACUUUGAAGAUUGGUUGGAAAGCCUACUUGUAAUAUUGGUUUGAGGACCUACUUGCAAUACAAACAAAAAGUACAACACCUAUAUGAAAUUUUGAAUAAAGAUACGUGUGGGUAAUAAAACUGUAAUUGUGAAGUCAAUUUUCACAUCAAUAGUGGUGUUCUAGUGAUCCAUCGCUUUUAAUGAAUAGGUAAUUGAAAAAUAUACUUAUUAUUUUUUCUAUAUCAAAGUGUACUUCACCUACAGUAUGUCUUCCUAUUUUGCUGUCAUGCAAGGUGUUCAGAAUGAAUAUAUUCAAUUCGUUAUCACAUGCAGUAUGUGAAUCUUAUUCAAAUUUGCAAUCACAUAUUGACAAGAUGUGACCAGAUGUGAAUCUAAUAACAUGAGGUGGUAAGUUUGCAAUGGGAUGAUAAAAACAAAGAAGAUCAUUAAUUUCCAACCAUUUACCUAAAUAACUUGGAACAUUUACCCCAAAACUCAACAAUACGUAAGUACCUAAAACAACAUCACUACCACCAUAUACCAUGGGAUGGAAUAAACGGGAAAUAAACAACAAAUGAAAACAUUAAAAGCACAAAAGAAAGCAUCUCACAACAACUGAUUAUUACAUUUAGACCAAUUGUGUAGAUGUCAUUGCAUCAAGAGCAAUGGAUAGCUCUCUUAUGGCUAUAUUGUGACUCAAUGUGCCAUUGGUGAGAUCUUUCAAGAAGACGUCUCACUUAUGGGGGUUUGAGAGCAUGAAAUAAGUUCCCUUCUCCAUCUCGCACACUCCCAUCCACACAAAACUUGGGCAAGUUACGCGUCAGUAAUGGUUGAAAUUAACCCGAGUAAAUCAAAUGUUGAGUGGAGACAUGGUAACAUGAGUCGAUAUACUCAUACACAUCUUGUCUCAUCAUGCGGAUGAUAGCACAAGCAUGGACAGAUGGCAAUCUGGACAUUAGUCAUGUCAUACAAGUACACGAAUGUUGCUACAUCCACAAAUAUGGCAUGACAACAAACGGACCAAACCUUAUGAUAUUUGACAUUAGCUUUUCCUCUAUUCAGGUUCUUCCACUUUUAUGUUCCACGCAUAUGGACACAUGGCAAUACUCUCUUAAUGAAUUAUUGAAACAAUGAUUUAUGAAAUUACGUAAUUCACACUAAAAAUUAGUUAAAGCAUUGAUUUAAGGUCCUCAACUUUUGCAUAAUUAAUAAUAAGAAUAUAAAAUAUAAAAGAUAAAAAUAUCCUUAAAGGAAAUCAUGCUUAUUGCUUAUCAAACAUUAUGAAUAAACGAAUCAAUAAAUUGAAUACUAGGGAAUUAAAGAAUAACCAAAUUAACCAUAACGCUUGACUUUCUUCUAAGGCCCUUCAACUUAUGAGCCGAGAAUAUCCAAUCCAAGGAUGGGGUGAUAACGGGGUUAACGGAGGCAAAUGGAAUGCCCCAUCCAUGUCUCUCUCCUCCCAAACGGUCCUCCAACUUGACGGCGUUAGCGGACUCGCCUCCAAAACAUUAGCCGCCUCUGCCACCACGGGGCUGUCAGAAUCCGGUGAGGCUUCUUCUUGCUUUAAAACCUUUAUCUCCGGUUGUUCCCUCUCUUCACUUUCGCUUUCUCUCUCCCUUUUCCGGAUGGAAGUCGCCGGUGGGUCAGAAUCCGACCAAUUCCCCGCUUCAAGAGGAAAAUUAAGAACAGCUUUGGAGCCACGCAUUUUGAAAGCAGCUCGAUCAUAAGCUCUGGCGGCUUCAAUGGCUGUCUCGAAGGUUCCAAGCCAAACCCUAGAUCCUCUCCGAUUCGGGUCUCGAAUCUCAGCCGCGAAUUUUCCCCAAGGCCGGCGGCGCACUCCCCGAUAGUGCCUUCUCUCGCCGGAAUCUAACGAGGACGAAGUGUCAGAAAUGGGUGGCGGAGGAAGGGAGAUGCUGAGUGGGGGUCGCCGAUGACUCAAUCUGGAAGGUUUUGGGGAUUCGGUUUGAAACUGGAAGACGGCAGAUGGAGAAGAGGUAGAGCAGUCGAAGAGAAAAGCGUUGAUUUCAUCUUCAUGGAGUUUCGGGUACUCGGAAACUUGAAUAAUAUCAUCCGUAGAAACACUUGAAUCAGAGGCCGAAGAUCGUAACGAAUGACUUGCAUGAGAGACGAAGGAUUCCAUAGAAUCAAAGUCGGAGAGGAGGAGGUGGUGGAUGAGUUGCAGUGAUGAAGCUUCUUCUCCCAUGAUUGGAGAUGAGCAGUGAGGAAUAGUCUAGGGUUGAAAGUCGAAACAAGGUGAGAAAGAGAGAGAGAGUAGGGGGAAGAGAAGUGAGUGAGUGAAGCUCUGUGCAUCAAGUAUGAGGUUGUUGUGGCGUAUAUAUAGACACUUAUAUGGGGAAAGGAGGUUUCAGAUGAGGUUCCUGGUUAGUUCAAAGAAUGUUCUGUACAUGGCGGCUGAUUUGUGGUUGGAUGGGGUGCUUCAUUUUAAAUCUAGGCAAUGCCUUGAAUGUUACUCAAGUAGGAUAAGGACACUUUAUUAUUUGGACUACCACUAUAUAUAUUCUCUCAUGAUUAUAAUCAAUUUACAUCCUAAAAUUGAAGAUGCUAAUAGUUUAAAGAGGAUAAGAUGAGCAAGGGAAAAGAAGAUAGUUAUAUAAAUGAACCUUUUUUUGAGAAAAUGCCCACUGAGGCAUAAGAGAGGAUUCAAUAGAGGUGGAGAAGUUGUUAUUCUUUUUAUUGGAAUAAGGUAUUUGUGAAGUUUCAUUGAUUUAUUUAUUUAUUUUUGUGAACAUUAUUAUUUUUAUAGGUUUUUUGUUUUUUCUAGAGCUAAUAGGAUGACAACAAAGUGGGUUCACAAUCGAUUGCCCUUAUCCUUAUUCAAAAUAAUUCUUAACUUCCUUUUAUUAAAAAUUUAAAUGGGGUGAAUUUCUCAUUUCUAUCCAAUCCCUUUCAUUUAUUUUUUUUUCAAAAUUAUUUUAAUUACAUUAAAAUAAAUAUAUUUUAUAAAUAAUUAAAAUAUUAUAAUUUUUUAAAACUUAUUUAUUGAAAAUUAUAUUAUUAUUAUUAUUAUUAUGAUAUAUUAAAAAUAGAAAAAUAAAAAUUAAAUUAAAUUAAUUUUAUACAUAAUUGAGGUAAGAUAGGAUUAGGUAAGACAAAGUAAUACCUGAAUCACUCCCGAGUUUUAAAUAAAUAAAUAAAUAAAUUUAUUUCUAAUCCAUUUAUUUAAAUUUUAAACUUAUCUCAUUAAGGAUAGAACAGAUACAAAAAAAACUCAUUUUAUUGUCAUCUCUAAAAGUUAACAAAUUUAUAAGCCUUAAACAUUGAUUUCUUAUUAAAGUUGAUUAGCCAUAAUAGACUAAAGGUUACUUCACAUGGCAAUUGGAGAUAUGGAUUUCUUUUAGGAAGGAAAAAGCCAUUUCUUGCAAUAAAUUUCUUUUGGGGGAAAAAUUCUGAAAGUAUCAAUGUAGGGGUUUUGCUGACGAGUCUAGAUAUAUUAAUGAAUGCACGGUUUUUGUUUACGAGUCCAGAUAUAAGAAUUUCAUUUCUAAUAAACGAGUAAGAAAAUAUAUGAAAUUUAACUCAUCACAUACCCUUACGGAGUUUAGGACAAGACAAGGGUUUUAUGCAGAGUAAUGUAUUUUUAAAAUACUGUAACAUAAAAAAUGUUCUAAAAUUAUAAUAUUUUUCAAUUUCAAGUAGAAGUUGAUCUUUUGAAAAGACGAGUUCAAUAUGAAAAAAUUUAGGAUAAAAAAAGAAUUCGUCUUUUGAAAAGAUAAAUUUAGGACAACAAGUGAAUUCAUAUUUUGAAAAGUUGUUCAGUAUAAAAAGUGAAUUCGUUUUUUUAAAAAAUAAUUUUAAUGUAAAAAUAAAAAGGUAAUGAAAAAUGUUGUAUUUUUUGUUAUUAUUUUUUAAACCACUGGAUUGAGGUGGAGUAACCUUUUCUACCAUUAUUCUAGUUUUUUUUUCAUGAUUUACUAUAAAAGGUCAACAUUAUACAUUUUAAGUUGGGGGAAAGGUCAUAACUAACCACUAAAAUUUUAAAAACUUUUGCUUUAUUGUCGAGGAUAUCACUCUGUUUUGUUCUUAUUAUUGACAAUUUUUCUUAAAUCACUCUAUUUAUAGAAUAUUUUUCUUUGUUUUGAGAGGUUAGCUAUCUUGAUUUUGAUAUGAAUUCGUUUACUUUAAUAUACAAAAGUUUUGUUUGGUUUGCUUUACUAGACAUCUUUAUAACGUUCUUUUGAAUUCAUUAUGUGAGCUAUUUGCACUAAGUGAAAUAUUUCAAAUAUAUGGAUCCAUUGGCAAGCAAUGAAAUUGAUACUUUGAUACUUGAAAGAAACAUCACAUGUUAGUUUAGUAUAUGAUAAAAUCAGCAAUGUCUCCAAGACAAUUCUUUGUUAUGUUAAUUCUAACCAUUUUGGAGAUUUGGUAAGGUCUAUAAUAUGUAUAUUCACUUUAUAUGUUAAGUGUUAUUAGUUAGAAAGCAACCUUGUAAUUUAUAAUUGUUUUGUCAACAAAAGUAGAAUACAUGGUAAUCACAUAAGUAGUAAAAGAAGUUAUUUGACAGUGUUUGAUUGCCGAUUUAAGCUUAUAAUAAGGGUUGACUGUUGUGUAUGGUUAUGGUCAAAGUGUUCAUACAUUUGAUCAAAAAAUCAUAUGUUCCAUGAGAGAACCAAACAUAUUGAUAUUCAAAUGCAUUUUAUUGGGGAUGUUAUUGCACAUGAUGCUAUUGUAAUAAUAAAAAAUAAAAAUAAAUAAAAAUCCCUACAAUGGAUAUUCUAAUAGGCAUGAUGACUAAAAUCAUUUCUACAAUCAAGUUUAAGCAUUACUUUUCGACUUAAUUGGUGUUUGCAACAUUUGAAGGCUGCUUAGAAGUGUGGGAGUGAAGUAACAUGAAACACUUUUGAUUUUGUUUUAAUCUUGAAUGUUUGGGUCAAGCUCAAGAUUAUUCAAAAGUGUCUCAAAUCCUAAUUUAAGUCAAUUGGAAAGCCAUUGAUAGUUUCUUAAUAAGAUAUAUUCUUGUAAAGGAGUUUCCUAUUAUUCUAAAGGAAAUAUUGUAUUGUGAAAUCUUCAUUUAGGAAUAAGUAUUCUUUUAUGGUUGUACAAUUAGUUUCCUAUAAAUAACCUCCCUAUGUGAUUAAGAAAAUAUAUAAGAGAUUGUGACAAAAAAAAAAGUCUUAUUUCGGGUGUAAUUGAGGUUUUGGGAUUUGAGAGCUCUAACCUUGUAAUUUCUUUGAACAAUAGUAAAAGUUCUUCUAAAUCAUAGUUUGAAAAUAUAGAAACAGAACUACAUAAAUUGUUAUGCAUUUGAUAUGUUUUCUGUUUUCGAAUUAUUAUUUUCUUUCUCUCCAUUACUAUUGUUAGUGGUUGCUUUUCACAACAUCACCCAUGGACUCCUAAACUAAAAACUUCUAUUUACGCCUAAUAACAAGAUGCACAACAUAUAUGUUCUCAGUUAGAGCUCUAGUUAUAUAGUAGACUCUAGGAGAUAUAAUGGUAAGAAAAAUAUGACUUUCUAUAUGACAAACUCUUGAUAAAUAAUUUUGGAGAAACAACAGUCAAGCAAGAAAACUUAUACAUAAUUAAAAGAAUAAACAAAUUCAAUAACAUUAAUUUAUGAAAUAAAUCAACUCCAUCAAACUUCAAUUGCCGGUGAGAACUCUCAUUCAACUAUGAGUUGAGAAUACGCUAUCCAAUGAAGGGGUGAUGAUGGCGUUAACGGUGGCAAGUUGAAUAUUCCCUUCAUGUCUCUCUCUUCCCACACAGCUCUCCAACUCGACGGCGUUAAUGGACUGAUCCCCAAAACACUUGCUGCCGCCGCUGUGCUGUCAGAUUUCGGAAACUCCACUUCUUCUUGCUUUAAAACCUUUAUCUCCACUUGUUCUCUCACUUCGGUCUCACAAUCUCUCGGCCGGAUGUGGCCGGUGGGUCAGAACCUGACCAAUUCCCUGCUUCAAGGGGGAAAUUGAGAAUGGCUUUGGAACCACGCAUCUUGAAAGCUGCUCGAUCAUAGGCCCUGGCGGCUUCAAUGGCUGUCUCGAAGGUCCCCAGACAUACCCUCGAUCCUCUCCGAUUUGAGUCCCGAAUCUCCGCCGCGAAUUUCCCCCAUGGCCUUCGCCUGACCCCUCUAUAGUGCCUGAUCUCGCCGGCAACUGGCGCCGAUGAGGGCUGAGAAGUGGGUGGCGGAGGAACUGAGAUGCUGAGUGGGGGUCG